rnacentral:lncRNA from 1 species
UCAUUCUUCUACUACUUCUACUUCUCAUUCUUCUACUUCUUCUCAUCCCCCGUCUUCUACUUCUUUUCUUCUUCUUCUUCUUCUUCUUCUUCUUCUUCUUCUUCUUCUUCUUCUUUCUCCUCCUCCUCCUCCUCCUCCUCCUCUUCUUCUUCUUCUUCUUCUUCUUCCCCCUUCUACUUAUUCUACUUUUCGUCUUCUUUUUUCAUCUUUUUUCACUUCCUUUAAUUAUGACUAUUUAACUAAAACCUAACACUAGUCUAAUAUAAUCCAAUCUAAUUAAUCUAAUCUAGCUAACUAUAUAACCUAAACCUAAACUAAAAACCUAAACUAAUUAAAACUAAACUAAUUAAACCUAAACUAAUUAAACUAAAUAACCUAAACUAAUUAAUUCUAAACUGAAAAAACUUAAACUAAAAAACCUNNNNNNNNNNNNNNNNNNNNNNNNNNNNNNNNNNNNNNNNNNNNNNNNNNNNNNNNNNNNNNNNNNNNNNNNNNNNNNNNNNNNNNNNNNNNNNNNNNNNNNNNNNNNNNNNNNNNNNNNNNNNNNNNNNNNNNNNNNNNNNNNNNNNNNNNNNNNNNNNNNNNNNNNNNNNNNNNNNNNNNNNNNNNNNNNNNNNNNNNNNNNNNNNNNNNNNNNNNNNNNNNNNNNNNNNNNNNNNNNNNNNNNNNNNNNNNNNNNNNNNNNNNNNNNNNNNNNNNNNNNNNNNNNNNNNNNNNNNNNNNNNNNNNNNNNNNNNNNNNNNNNNNNNNNNNNNNNNNNNNNNNNNNNNNNNNNNNNNNNNNNNNNNNNNNNNNNNNNNNNNNNNNNNNNNNNNNNNNNNNNNNNNNNNNNNNNNNNNNNNNNNNNNNNNNNNNNNNNNNNNNNNNNNNNNNNNNNNNNNNNNNNNNNNNNNNNNNNNNNNNNNNNNNNNNNNNNNNNNNNNNNNNNNNNNNNNNNNNNNNNNAGAAGAAGUGAGUAACGGGCGAGGGGGGGUACGGGCCGUUAGGUAGUGCCCUCUUUGCCGUCCGCCUAUCUUUGCCGUCCACCCUUUUUGCCUCUUUGUCGUCUGCUGGCGGACGGCAAAGAGGUGGGCCGUUAAGUUUUUUCCAAACGGGCGGGGGUUGGGGGCCACCUCACUCUUUGCCGUCUGCCAGCGGACGGCAAAGAUUCUUUGCCGUCUGCUGGCUGACGGCAAAGAGCUUGCAGAUGGCAAAGAGCUUCUUUGUCGUCUGCCGUUUCUUUGCCGUCUGCUUUUGGGUAGCUGAUGGCAAAGAGCUUCUUUUCCGUCAGCUAGCGGACGGCAAAGAGCCGGCAGAUGGCAAAUUAGCUGAUUCCAGCAGUGGACCUUGCAUGCUUCUAGUGAACCUGUUGCUGACACACUUGAGAAUCCCGGUGAUAUUUCUAUUUCUGAUGCUGAAACACAAUAUGGUAAUGAACAUUAACCUAGUGAUAAUAUUAAUGAUGAUGCUCAGCCUAGCAAUAACAAUGAUGUAGAAAUUGAAUCUGCUGUUGAUCUUAAUAACCCACAAUCGAAGAAUCAACGUUGUGAUAAGAGAGACUUUGUCGCUAGGAAGCACGGUAAAGAAAGAGAACCAUGGGUUCAGAAACCCAUGCCUUUUCCUCCUAAACCAUCCAAGAAAAAGGAUGAUGAGGAUUUUGAGCGCUUUGCUGAAAUGAUUAGACCUAUCUUUUUGCGUAUGCGUUUGACUGAUAUCCUUAAAAUGAAUCCUUAUGCGAAGUAUAUGAAAGAUAUUGUUACUAAUAAGAGAAAGAUAUCGGAACCUGAAAUUUCCACCAUCCUUGCUAAUUAUACUUUUAAGGGUGGAAAACCAAAGAAACUAGGAGAUCCAGGAGUACCAACUAUACCAUGCUCCAUUAAAAGAAACUAUGUUAAAACUGCUUUAUGUGAUCUUGGAGCCGGUGUUAGUGUUAUGCCUCUCUCUUUAUAUCAUAGACUAGAUUUAAAUAAGUUGACACCUACUGAAAUAUCUUUGCAAAUGGCUGAUAAAUCAACUGCUAUACCUGUCGGUAUUUCUGAGGAUGUGCCUGUCGUGGUUGAAAACGUUACUAUCUUAACGGACUUUGUUAUUGUUGAUAUUCUCGAGGACGAUAGUAUGUUGAUUAUCCUUGGUAGACCCUUUUUGAAUACUGCAGGGGCUGUUUUUGAUUGCAACAAAGGCAAUGUCACUUUUCAUGUUAAUGGUAAUGAGCAUACGGUACACUUUCCGAGGAAACAACCUCAAGUUCACAGUAUCAAUUCUAUUGGAAAAAUUCCAACUAUUAGUAUUGGAGGUUUUGAAUUUCCUCUUUCUACUGUCAAAAAGAAAUAUGAUAUCUUAUUGUUGGGGAUGUGCAUAUCCCCGUUGAGGUAACCUAGUGCUAUUCGAAAAUUCUCCGGUUUCAUGCGAUUCGGAAUGAGUUUGUUAACAAGACUUGAUCAACCUUGUUAGUCGAUUCCUUUUGAUGAGCAUGAGAUGGAUGAAGUUAGAAAGCACAACCUUUUGUACCCUCCUUUUACUUUCUGUUAUUUAGAUUAAAUAAAGCAAAAUAGUAUUUUCUGUCUGUUUUCUGAGUUAUCUUUGCAAUAGAAAAAUACCCCGAAAAUAAAAGUUCUCCAAAUGCCCUGAAAUUGAAAUAUGAUUUUUUUCUAUAAUAUUUAAGAAUAUUUGGCACUGAGAACACACCAGGGGGAGCCACCACCUGGCCACGAGGGUGCAGGGCGCGCCCCCUACCUCGUGGGCCCCACAUGGCCCCGCUCCACUUAUUCCAGCACCCAUAGACUUCGUCUUCCUCUAGAAAAAAUCACCACCUCGCUCAAACUCGUGUUCUAGCUCAUCUUGCUGCGAUUUUCGAUCUCCUUGCUCAAAGCUCCACUCACAAAACUUCUUUGGGGGAUUUUUCUUCGGUAUGUGACUCCUCCAAUGGUCCCAUUAGUUUUUGUUUUAGUGCUUUAUUUAUUGCAAAUUUUUGCUGCUUAGGUGACCCUGUUCUUGAGCUUGCAUGUCAAGUUUAUUUGGUCCCAAGUAGUUCUAAUGCAUGAUAUAGUCUCUAGGCACUUGUGGGAGUAGUUGCUAUCAAUCUUGUUGAGUUUGGUUCACUUUUAUUUUGAGUCAUUAAAAAUUUCAGAAAUUUUUCAGAGGAAGAAAUAUGUUUAGGAAAAUGUAGCAAGGUGUUUCCUCAAAGAAGCAAGGACCCAGGCUCGCAAUACAUGAGCCGGACUAUGAACUAUCAAGAGAAGCUCAAGUGCGGCCUUGUGAAUAGCCGUUAGAAUAUUUUAUGGUCCAAGCAUGCAUUAAGGACGAAUUCGACGCAUAUGUGCGUAACGCUGAACUUGAGGGCUUCGUGUCAGAUAAGUGCCCCCAAUAUUAUUACCUAACUGAUUCCUUUGUGAGAAGGUUUAAAUUUACAUCAUCACGCAAUUCUCACACUAUCCUAUUUGAUCUUUAUGAUAAAUCUCAUACCAUGGACUUAGAAGAUUUUAAUACUGCUUGUAAACUCCCGCAGUGGGGUAAUGUUAGUGAACCUGGCAAAUCUGAAUUAAAAAAUUUUCUUGCUAGUAUCACUGUGGGGGAAUCUAGAGAAAUAACACAAGCUACCAUAGGGAGCAUUCACUUUCCUGUCAUACAUUAUUUUGCUCUCUUUAUAGGUAGAAGCAUUAACGGAAAGGAUGAGGCAUCUCACAUGUGUGUUCCCGACCUUAGUGUUCUUAAGAGUGCUGUAUUAGGAGAUAAACAAUAUAACUUGGGGGCCAUUGUUGCACGAAGGUUGCAUCUUAAUAGUUUAAGUGGAGACUUGUUUGGUGGAAUUUAUGCAACCUGUGUGGCUAAUUUUCUUGAGAUACCCAUACAUGAAAAUGAUAUGGAAUUGCCUCCGGCUUAUCUAGAAUUUAAUGAUAUGGUUCGCCAUCAGUUUGUUGAGAGGAAUGAACAAUCUCUCCAAUACCGACUAAUCUUUGACAUGCGUCGCACUGUCCAUGUUGCUCUCCCUGCUCCUACUUUUUUUGACUUUCAGGCAAAAGGGAGAUAUGUUAUAACCAGGGAGGAGGCGAACGAGUAUGAGAGGAGGACAGAGGCAGCUCGCCUCCAAGCUGCAGCUCAUCAGGCAAUAGCCGCUGCAUCUCAGUACGACCCCAGUUACAACUUCGGAUAUCCGCCAGGCCAGCCGUGGCCAUAGACCAACUUAGGCCAAAAGCCUAAGCUUGGGGGAGUACGUAUUUCUCACUGACAUUACAUUCAUGUUCACACACUCAUUCUAGUUGUCGGUGCUCAUACUUUUUCACUGUACUAUCCAUGCUAGUAGAUUUUAGCUAGUUUACUUUUCAUGCCUGUAGUAGUAGUAACUAAAAGAAAACCCAAAAAGAUUUCUCGUUCUUCUUUUGCUUGCUGGGAGCUUUACCGUGUAAAUAGUUUUAUUUCUUUUCUUUGGGGGUUGAGAGGAGAAGGCCAUAAUGAAAAUAUUGAGUGGCUCUUAUAUGCAUUAUUGCUGAUUUAACCAAGAGUCCAUAUUACCUUGUCUGCCCUUUUGUAUUAAAUGCUUGCAUAUUCCAGUUUCGUCUAAUGCACGUGCACUAUUAUUAUUAUCCACACUGUUCGGUCGUGCAAGUGAAAGGCAAUAAUGACGAUAUAUGAUGAAUUGAUUGAGAUGAGAGAAGCUGGUAUGAACUCGACCACUCUUGUUUUUGUAAAUAUGAUUAGUUCAUCAUUCCUGAUUCAGCCUAUUAUGAAUGAAACAUGUUUGCAAUGAUAAUUAGAGAUUAUAGUUGCUUAUGCCAUGCUUAAUUAGCUAGGAGUUUAUAAUAGUUUACCUUGCAUGCCAACAUGCUAUUAAAAUAGUUGUGACGUGGUAUGAUAGGGUGGUAUCCUCCUUUGAAGGAUUCGAGUGGCUCGACUUGGCACAUGUUCACGCAUGUAGUUGAAACAAAAUCAACAUAGCCUCCACGAUAUUUAUGUUCAUGGUGGAUUAUAUCCUACUCAUGCUUGCACUCAUUGUUUAUUAAUUUUAAUGCAUGUUCAUGACUGGUGUCGCUCUCUAGCUGGUCGCUUUCCAGUCUUUUUCUAGCAUUCACUUGUACUAAGCGGGAAUACUGCGUGUGCAUCCACUUCCAUAAACCCCAAAGUUAUUCCACAUGAGUCCACUAUACCUUCCUAUAUGUGGUAUCUACCUGCCGUUUCAAGUAAAUUUAUAUGUGCCAAACUCUAAACCUUCAAAUGAAAUUCUGUUGUGUAUGCUCGAAUAGCUCAUGUAUCAACUAGGGUUGUCUGUAUCUUCCAUGCUAGGCGGAUUAUUUUCAAGAGGAGUGGACUCCGCUCCUCACUCACGAGAAAAUGGCUGGUCACCGGGAUGCCCAGUCCCACGCUCAAACCAAAUCAAAAUAAUUGCAAACAAAACUCCCUCAGGACUGUUGUUAGUUGGAAGCACCCGUUGUUUCGGGCAAGCCAUGGAUUGAUGCUUGUUGGUGGUAGGGGAGUAUAAACAUUACCAUUCUGCUUGGGAACCACCUAUAAUGUGUGUAGCAUGGAAGAUAUCGAGAUCUCUCGGUUGUUAUGUUGACAAUGAAAGUAUGCCGCUCAAAAUAUUAUUUAUAUCUAUUUCCAAAAAUUGAGCUCUGGCACCUCUACAAAUCCCUACUUCCCUCUGCGAAGGGACUAUCUAUUUAUUUUUAUGUUGAGUCAUCAUCCUCUUAUUAAAAAGCACCAGUUGGAGAGCACCGCUAUCAUUUGCAUCCAUUAUCAUUAAUUUAUAUUGAGUAUGCUCUUUUACCAUGAAUAACAAUAUUUAGUCAGUCCUUGAUUUUCAGAGGUGCUCUGCAUUUAUGUUUUGCGGUCUCAGAAAGGGCUAGCGAGAUACCACCUUGUUAUAUCAUAUUAUGAUUGUUUUGAGAAAGUGUUGUCAUCCGAGAUUUAUUAUUAUUGCACGCUAGUUGAUUAGGUCAUUGAUAUGAGUAAACAUGAGACCUAUGUUAUUGUGAAUAUGGUUAGUUCAUAAUCUUUGCUGAAAACUUGAAUGCUGGCUUUACAUAUCUACAACAACAAGAGCAAACAGAGUUUGUAAAAGUUUUUCUUUAUCACUUUUAGUUUGUCAACUGAAUUACUUGAGGACAAGCAAAGAUUUAAGCUUGGGGAGUUGAUACGUCUCCAUCGUAUAUAUUUUUCCAAACACUUUUGCCCUUGUUUUGGACUCUAAAUUGUAUGAUUUGAAUGGAACUAAUCCGGACUGACGUUGUUUUCAGCAGAAUUGCCAUGGUGUUAUUUUUGUGCAGAAAUAAAAGUUCUCCGAAUGACCUGAAACUUCACGGAGAAUAUUUUUGGAAUUAAUAAAAAAUACUGGCGAAAAAAUCAAGACCAGGGGCCCACACCCUGUCCACGAGGGUGGGGGCACGCCCCCCUGCCUCGGGGGCCCCCUAGUGCUCCACCGACCUCAACUCCAACUCUAUAUAUUCACGUUCGGGGAGAAAAAAUCAAAGAGAAGGAUUCAUCGCGUUUUACGAUAUGGAGCCGCCGCCAAGCCCUAAUCUCUCUCGGGAGGGCUGAUCUGGAGUCCAUUCGGGGCUCCGGAGAGGGGAAUCCGUCGUCGUCAUCAUUAUCAACCUUCGUCCAUCACCAAUUUCAUGAUGCUCGCCGCCGUGCGUGAGUAAUUCCAUCGUAGGCUUGCUGGACGGUGAUGGGUUGGAUGAGAUUUAUCAUGUAAUCGAGUUAGUUUUGUUAGGGUUUGAUCCCUAGUAUCCAGUAUGUUCUGAUAUUAAUGUUGUUAUGACUUUGCUAUGCUUAAUGCUUGGUACUAGGGCCCGAGUGCCAUGAUUUCAGAUCUGAACCUAUUAUGUUUUCAUGAAUAUAUGUGAGUUCUUGAUCCUAUCUUGCAAGUCAAUAGUCACCUACUAUGUGUUAUGAUCCGGUAACCCCGAAGUGACAAUAAUCGGAACCACUCCCGGUGAUGACCGUAGUUUGAGGAGUUCAUGUAUUCACUAAGUGUUAAUGCUUUGGUCCGGUACUCUAUUAAAAGGAGGCCUUAAUAUCCCUUAGUUUCCAAUAGGACCCCGCUGCCACGGGAGGGUAGGAUAAAAGAUGUCAUGCAAGUUCUUUUCCAUAAGCAUGUAUGACUAUAUUCGGAAUACAUGCCUACAUUACAUUGAUGAACUGGAGCUAGUUCUGUGUCACCCUAUGUUAUAACUGUUGCAUGAAGAAUGGCAUCGACAUAAUUAUCCAUCACUGAUCCAAUGCCUACGAGCUUUUCACAUAUUGAUCUUUGCUUAGUUACUUUUCCAUUGCCAGUGUUACAAUUAGUACAAAACUAUUACUGUUACUUUUGCCACCGUUACCGUUACUUUCAUACUACUUUGCUACUAAAUACUUUGCUGCAGAUAUUAAGUCUUUCAGGUAUGGUUGAAUUGACAAUCAACUGCUAAUACUUGAGAAUAUUCUUUGGCUCCCCUUGUGUCGAAUCAAUAAAUUUGGGUUGAAUACUUUACCCUCGAAAACUGUUGCGAUCCCCUAUACUUGUGGGUUAUCACUCCUCGCGCCGUCCGCCGAAGUCCAAGCGCCGGACCAGGAAGGUCCCGACACGGACACGACCAGCACGCCCCACCAGCCGCCACCACUCCGCCGCCACCCCCACCAGCCCGGAGCCGAGGCAGGGGCAGCCGCCCGCAGAUCCUGUCGCCCGCGACCCACACCACUCUCCGCGCCAAGCCAGGAACCGGCCCAGGCCUCGCCGGACCCCGCCACUGCCCCCUGCCUCGUCGCAACAGCCGCNNNNNNNNNNNNNNNNNNNNNNNNNNNNNNNNNNNNNNNNNNNNNNNNNNNNNNNNNNNNNNNNNNNNNNNNNNNNNNNNNNNNNNNNNNNNNNNNNNNNNNNNNNNNNNNNNNNNNNNNNNNNNNNNNNNNNNNNNNNNNNNNNNNNNNNNNNNNNNNNNNNNNNNNNNNNNNNNNNNNNNNNNNNNNNNNNNNNNNNNNNNNNNNNNNNNNNNNNNNNNNNNNNNNNNNNNNNNNNNNNNNNNNNNNNNNNNNNNNNNNNNNNNNNNNNNNNNNNNNNNNNNNNNNNNNNNNNNNNNNNNNNNNNNNNNNNNNCGCAUGCCAAUAGCCACAGAACGUCUUUUUUCAAUGUGCAAACCCAUCUAAAAAUUUCAUCGCGAGAGUAUGUUUGCAAGCUGUAGAUUUCAAGUAUGGACGGAAAUAUAUCCCCGCAAUCCCCUAAAAGAAAUAUCUCCCAGCAGAAAGAAUGACUGAAACAAGGUGUGAAGCAUCGGAGAGUUCACGUGUUAUUUUUUUUAAAAAAAAAUUGCGGGAUGGAGAGUUCACGUGUUAGCCUCUGAAAAAAAAAAGUUCACGUGUAGCGUGUUAAGAAAAAAGGUUAAAAAACGGUGAAUCAAGCUACGAGCCAGUGGGUUGACGGGUCGAAUCACGGUCGGGUCGGAGGCUCUGUUUUUCAUGGGCCACAACUUGUGGUACGGCGCACUCGGCUCCCUGCCAUGUGGGCCAAGGGUCUCUGAACCCACGAGUCAGUGACAGGCGAGUGACCACCCUCUUCGGAAGCGGAACGCGGCCGAAAGGUAUUCAUCGGGAGGUGCAAAAGCCUAACGGUAACGGCCAAAAGGGGCCGGGGCAUCAGUUCCGAGGGCUCUGGGACGGCCGCGGCUGACAGGCGGGACCCACCGCUGAUUCCCUUCCGCACAAGUCAAGUCACCCGCUGAUGAGAAAUUAACGACGUCCUUUCGUACUGGAGGCCGUUGCACAUGGGGGACCUUUCAAGGACAGGGGCGGCGCGUGCUAGGGGUGCUGGUCUGGACUCUGGACGGUGGAUUUACCUUAGCCUGACGCGCCGGGACCACCGCCGGUGGACCAGGUUGUCAUUGGCAUGCGGUAGGUAGUAAAACGAGAGAAAGGUCACGGGCUGACGGGCCCGCGCCGCGCUGCGCAUGGGUAGAAAGUGAAAAAAGCUGGCGCGGAAGAGGGGUCAGUGCCCCUGACAGCGCCAGGACCCUGUGUAAACUUUCGCAUCGGGAUCCUCACCAGCGGUGAAGGCAUCAAAACUUGUUGGAAAGCGAAAGCAAUUCACCUACUCCAGUACCGAUGGUUAAGCCAACUCCAUCCGAAUUUCUCAGUUCGCGGCGGCAAAACGUAUGCCUAUGUCCGGUUUUACCCGUUCGCAAAAACACACGGUCCAUCGCAACUUGUCCGCAUCAUUUCAAAACAAAGGCGCCCACACAUUUGAACAUAAAUUUAAAACUGUUCAAACUAGUCUCCGACACACAGUUAACUUAAACUUAAAAAACAAAAAGAAAACAUAUAUUUAGACGUCGUUGCCGCUGCCGUGGCCAUCUUGGAUGUUGUCGUCGUCUUCACGCCUCGCCGUCCUCGUCGUCGUCCAUGGUGAGGUCGACGUACGGUGGUGGCGUUCAGAGGUGGGUUGGAGGCGUGUGUGGGAGCUGCCAGGUCGGCCCCGCCUGCACCAUCUCUUCCGGUGGCGGCGACGGCUCCGGUGAGAGUGGACGCGUGGGUGCCCAUGGCUCGGUGCCCACCCAGUCGUCCAUCUCCUCCGCUGUGGACGACCACAUCCACCUCCGGCCCAUCAUGCGCGGGUUCGACUCGCUGACGGGGGGCUCCUCCCGCACCUCCUCCUUGAUGGCCAUUUCUGGGAUGGCGACGUCGCCGGCCACAGAGAGGGCCAAUUGGGUUUCGAGGCCCUCCCAUCGGCGUUCGUCGUGGGCGUUGAUGGAGUCCUCCAUCACCUGUCGGAUGAGCUCGGUUCCGUCCUCUUAGGUCAUGGGAGGUGGUGGUGGCGGGGACGGGGAAAGAGACAUCAUCGGCGUGAGGCCUCGCACCCGCGUACGCCCCGAGCUGCUGGGGCGGGCUCAGAGCACGCGAGUGGCGGGCAUGACCCACUUGUCGAGGAGCCACGUAUCCCACCGUGGCGAACCCACCAAUCAAUGGCAGGCGGGCGUGGCUUCGAUCGAUCUCCUUACGCCUUGGGCGGCCGCUCGCCGAGACUGGUGGGAUCGGCACCCUAUCCGCGAAGAGAUGCCAAUUGUUGGGGAUGUGGACAUUGCUCAACGGGAGGGGCUUCGCCGUCUCCCAAUAGCGUCGGCAAAUGUCGGCCCCGACGUAGGGCCGAAUGCGCUGCGGGGCCACCGACGACUAGGUGCUCAACGCGGGCUGCGCAGGCGGUGGGGAGCGGGUGGAGCGGUGGUGACCGGAGGAGGACCCGACCUCGUCGUCGUGCCUCCCCUUGUGGCCAGAGUUCCACUAGACCAUGGUGCCCGACGAGGCGGUGGAUGAGAAGAGGAGGAGGAAGAGCGGUGAGGAUGAACUAGGGUUUGGUGUCAGGGCUCAAGGAGGCACGUGGGACGAGUGUGGAAGCAUGGCCCGGCCGAUCCACAGCUUCCACAUUAAGAAGGACGGCGACCGCUGUUCAUGGGUGGCUGGCAAGUGGGUCCGUCCACUUAUCCGCACUAUAUAUGGGCAGUGGGAGGUAAGUGGGCAGCCGACAGGAGGGCCCGAGGCGGACGAGUAGCGGGUGUGUGGGCAUUUGUUCAAUGUCUGUUUAGACGCAAAUCAGGCACAGGUUUACGCUGAAAAUGGGUUGAGCCUGUUGGAAAUAUGAACAAUUUACCGAAUGAUUUUAUUAACAGAAAUACUAGAUAAAGCAUGACCAGAAUGGUAGUGAUAAAACAAGCCAUGCGAUUUGACAAAGAGAAGGUAAACAACAUCUUCAUAUAUGAACUGUAACUAAACAUAUCUAGAGCAGACAGUAUAGCAAGUUUCAUAUAUGAAAUAGAGUCUAACAUAUCUAGGGCAAAUACUAGAACAAGGAACUGUAGCAGGACCUCUAAUAGAAAGGAGAAGAACACGUACGGGACAGCAGCAGCAAAAGCACUGGACUUGGGAUCGGUGUCCUCGCCUGCCAUGUCGCCGAGGAGGUCGUGGACGUCGGGGAAGAAGUCGUCGUCGGGGAAGUAGUCGUCGGCGACCGGAUCGUCCGUGAUGAAGUAGCCAGUAGUCGCGCUGAGCGCUACCCAAAAACCUGAUCACCCUUCUCCCGUACAUGACUCAAAAUGUGCGGUUUCGGAGGCCUACUGUCCCGACGUGCGGUGCACGCCGCAAGCCGGGAUGAGGAAGACAGCAGCAGCUCAGAGAAGGAACCGAUGGCGAGGGAAGGAGUAGUUCUGGUCCGUCUCUCUGGGAGGAGCGACCUCCCUUUUAUAGGCGCAAGAGAAGGAGGCGAGAGGGCAGCGACAGGAGGCGAAACGAAGAGACGGAGAUGAAGCGAACAGCCAGCAGCCGAAGGGCUGCAUUCGAACUCCACUUUCGCAAAAAUCUUUUCAGCUUCCGUGUAACCUUUCGUAUACCCGUAGUGUGUGGCAAAAAUUUAGACAUCGACUCGUUCUCGCAACCCGCGGCGCGGCGCGUCGUGACGAGGCGUGGCGUGGCGUGGCGAGGCGGGCGGCGGAGGAGGAGUGCGCGUGGAUGUCCCUCUUGUUCUCAUGCUCAUACAAGUGGGGAAAGAACCUCCCCUAUAAAGAGGUCCAACUCCAUCUAAACUAGCAAUGUGGGACUAAACUUUAGUUCCACCUCUUGCCUUGCACGAAUGGGCUGCGUGGGCCUCUAGGAUUUAUUAAGAAUUUCUGAAACUGCUAUUGGGCUAGACCCAAAAUAGACAAAAUUCCAGCAAUCCCCCACCAGAUCCCAGAGGCACACAAAAAUUGCCUUUGGUUCCAAAACAAUGUUUUAUAUACUGAUACUGCAGUGGAGACUGUUAAGUUGAACUUCCACCUAGAACUCUAUGCUACACUAGUAAGCAACUUGAACAGUGGACUGGUCCUUGAACUGCAAGUUUUCUGUGAAUCUAGCUUCACAUAAAGCCUCGAUGCGUGGCUACCGUGGGUCUUCCCCGCGGGUGGAGCUUAUGCGUCAUACUCCGAGACCUUUCAUGAGUUUACUAGAGAGAACCCUACUCUCAUAGAUUGUGACGUUUAACAAUCAGACUCAUAUAGGUGUGUUCUUCAAAAGAUGUUCUGCAGGAUAACAUCUCUGCUUAAAUGAGCCACUUAGAACACAUUAAGAUAUACAUCAACCUCCCAUGCAGAUUAGGAGAGUAUUGCAUCUUCAUGGAGUGGUAUUGUAAAUAGUAAGGAUACUCUCCUCUUAGUUGACCAACAGCUUGUCUUCCACAUCUAAUUCACGGGAUCUCCGAUCACAAAGAAUAGGUUACCACUGUGAACAACUCAUAUUGUGGGUCUCAUACCCAUCUCCCUCGAUGCAUUAUCUAUCACAUUACGUGAUAGACCCUUAGUAAAAGGAUCUGCCAGAUUUUUAGAUGUUUGGAUAUAAUCCAAUGAAAUAACUCCGGAGUUUUUCAUUUUCCUGACAUACUUUAACCUUCUCUGAACGUGUCUUGAUGACUUCAUGUUAUCCUUUGAGAUGCUCACUUUCGUGAUCACAGUUUGAUUGUCGCAGUUCAUAAGGAUACCCGGUACAGGUUUCUUAACAACCGACAAGUCAUUCAAGAGCCGGCGAAGCCAAUCUGCUUCGACCGUAGCUGUAUCUAGUGUUGUAAGUUUUGCUUCCAUUGUUGACCUCGUUAAGAUGGUCUGCAUGCAAGACUUCCAAGAAACAGCGCCACCUCCAUGAGUGAAUACAUAUCCGCUCGUGGCCUUUAUCUCAUCAGCAUCUGAGAUCCAGUUUGAGUCACUAUACCCUUCAAGCACCUUUGGGUGCCCGGUGUAGUGAAUUCCAUAAUUCGCAGUGCCUUUCAAAUAACACAAAACUCUCUCUAGAGCUUUCCAAUGCACAUCUCCUGGUUUUGGGACAAACCGACUCAGUUUGCUAAUAGCAAAACAGAUGUCAGGUCUUGUAGCACUGGCUAAGUACAUAAGCGAGUCAAUAAUAUGAGAAUAUUUCAAUUGAUCUCUAGCAAUUCUUCAAUUCUUUCGAAGUAACACACUCGCAUCAUAUGGUGUUGGAGAGGGCUUGCAGUCACUAUAGCCAAAGCGACUCAAGAUCUUUUCCACAUAGUGAGAUUGAAGCAAUGUGAUCCCACCAUCAUCGUCUCUUAACAACUUGAUGUUCAGAAUGACAUCAGCCACUCCUAAAUCUUUCAUCUCAAAACAGCGAGAUAGAAAAUCCUUGACCUCCUUAAUAACAUUCAGAUUCGUUCCGAAAAUCAGUAUGUCAUCAACAUACAAGCAAAGGAUAACUCCCUCGCCCCCACCAUGGCGAUAGUACACACAUUUGUCAGCUUCGUUUACAACAAAGCCUGCAGUUGUUAAAGUUCUUUCAAACUUCUCAUGCCACUGUUUGGGUGCUUGCUUGAGUCCAUACAAACACUUCAGCAACUUGCACACUUUUCCUUCCUGACCAUCUAGUACAAAUCCAUCUGGUUGUUCCAUAUAAAUUUCCUCGUCUAACUCUCCAUUUAGGAAAGCAGUCUUAACAUCCAUUUGAUGAAUGAGAAGACCAUGCGAGGUAGCUAGCGAAAGUAGAACUCGAAUAGUGGUCAGUCGAGCCACAGGUGAGUAAGUAUCAAGGAAAUCUUCACCUUUCUUUUGGGUAUAACCCUUAGCCACGAGCCGAGCCUUGUACUUUUCAAUAGUACCAUCAGGCCUAAGCUUCUUCUUGAAUACCCAUUUGCAUCCUAUAGGUUUGCACCCAUAAGGACGAUCAGUUAUCUCCCAAAUUUCAUUCGCCAAGAUGGAAUCCAUCUCGCUAUGAACUGCUUCCUUCCAAUAGUCAGCGUCUUCAGAUGCAUAGGCCUCUGAAAUAGAACUGAGAGUCUCAUCUAUGAGAUACACAAGAAUCAUCACCAAAGGACUUUGCAGUCCUCUGUCUCUUGCUCCUAGUAGGAACUUCAUUGUUCUCCUCCACAGGACUUUCAAAGUAUUCCAUCGAAAUGGCAGGUUUGAUAAUUGUAACUGGUUCCUGAUUCGAUGAACUAGGCAUCUCCUGAUUAGAUGAGGUAGCCAUAUCCAUCAUGGGAAAGAUAUCUUCAAAGAAAGUCGCAUCAUUCGACUCCAUGAUCGUACCGACAUGCAUGUCAGGUACCUCAGAUUUUACAAUCAAGAAUCUAUAGCCAAUGCUAUGAAAAGCAUAUCACAGGAAAACACAAUCCACAGUCUUUGGUCCAAGCUUCCGCUUCUUUGGAAUUGGAACAUUGACUUUCGCCAAACAACCCCAUGUUCGUAGAUAAGAGAGUUUUAACUUUUUCUUCUCCCAUUCCUCGAAUGGAGUUAUCUCUUUGUUCUUUGUGGGAACUCGGUUUAGGACAUGCCAUCAAUAUCGCCUCCCCACACCAUGCCUUGGAGAGACCCGAUGUGUCUAACAUGGCGUUAACCAAAUCAGUUAGAGUACGGUUCUUUCUUUCGGCCACCCCAUUUGACUGAGGUGAGUAGGGAGGCGUCCUCUCAUGGAUUAUACCAUGUUCCGCACAAAAAGCAUCAAAUUCAUUGGAAAAAUACUCUCCACCACGGUCGGACCUAAGCCUCUUGAUUUUUCGAUCAAGUUGGUUUUCCACUUCAGCUUUAUAGAUCUUGAAAAAGUUCAAAGCCUCAACCUUAGAUUUCAGAAGAUACACACGACAGUAUCUAGUGAAGUUGUCAAUUAACGUCAUGAAAUAUUUCUUUCCACCUUUUGUCAAAACACCAUUCAUUUUACAUACAUCUGAAUGUAUGAGCUCUAGUGGUGCAAGAUUUCUCGUUUUCACAGUCAUGUGAGACUUACGAGGUUGCUUAGCUUGCACACAAACUUGACACAUAGAUCCCUUGACAGUGGUGAAACUAGGGAUUAAGUUCAACUUCGCCAGUCGCGACAUGCAACCAAAGUUAACAUGACAAAGACGUGAAUGCCACACAUUUGAUUCACUAUUGUUGCAAAUAUAAUUAACAACUUUAUUGCAAACGUAUGAUAAGGAUAAAUGAAACAGGCCUCCUGACUCAUAGCCUUUACCAACGAAGAUUCCAUACUUGGAUAUUACAAAUUUAUUCGACUCAAAGACAAGCUUGUAGCCAUCUCUACACAGAAGAGAUCCGCUAACAAGAUUUUUAUUGACGGAGGGGACAUAAUGCACGUUCUUCAGCCGCAUGAUCUUCCCCGAAGUAAACUUCAGAUCGACCGUGCCAACACCACGAACAGAAGCACUUGAACCGUUGCCCAUCAGCACGGUUGAAGUCCCUGCGGUCUGAUAAGACGAAAACAUGAAAAUAUCACCGCAUACAUGCACAUUAGCACCCGUGUCAAUCAACCAAUCAGGAGAAUGACAUACUGAAAGAAUAGUGGGAAAUAUACCAUACCCAUCAUCCUUCAUGUCAGUGUCUCCAAUGACAACAUUAGCGGUCUUGCUGCCUUUCCCAGGGUGACGCUUGUCAUAGCGAUUAGGGCAACUAGGGGCCCAAUGAUCAGGAUCGCCACACACAUGACAAGCACAUUUCUUCUUGUCAUUCUUCUUCUUGAAGUUUGUGUGCUGCACAGCUUUGUUCUUCCCAUCAAACUUUGCUUUACCAUCAAACUUGCCCUUGUUCUUGAAUUUGUGGGGCUGGAAGUUCUUCUUCUGCACCAGAUUGGCACUAGAUCCUUCCUCAAUACCUCGAGCACGUGUAUCCUUUGCUCUCGCCUUUUCUUCCACAUCAAUAGUGCCAAUGAGAUCCGGGACGGAAAACUCCUGUCUCUUAUGCUUCAGUAAGGUAGCAAAGUUCCUCCACGAAGGAGGAAGCUUAGUGAUGAUACCUCCGGCAACAAACUUGUCCGGUAGCAUACAACUGAAGUGCUCAAAUUCUCUAGCAAAUGACUGUAUCUCAUGAGCUUGCUCAACCACGGAGCGCUCUUCAGUCAUCCUGUAAUCAUAGAAUUGCUCCAUGAUGUACAGCUCAGUGCGAGCAUCCGAGACCCCAAACUUGGCCUCGAGUGCAUCCCACAUAUCUUUUCCAUUAUCAAUUGACGCAUAAGCAUCAAUUAUGUUCCCACCAAGAACACUCAAGAGAGCAGCCUUAAACAGAGUAUCCAUUUUCUGAAAAGCUUGUGCGUGUUGAGCAUCAAGCUCUCCUUCAGGUUUGCCGAGAGUGGCGUCAUAGCGACUCAUGGUUUGAAACCAUAAGACUGCUCUCACGCGCCACCUCUUAUAGUGGAUACCCUCAAACAUAUGAGGUCUCAUGAAAGCAUCAAAACCACUCGGGGUAAAUUGCCUAUAAUAAGGUUUUUGGAUUGUUGGAAAUAUGAACAAUUUAUCAAAUGAUUUUAUUAACAGAAAUACUAGAUAAAACAUGACCAGAAUAGUAGUGAUAAAACAAGCCAUGCGAUUUGACAAAGAGAAGGUAAACAACAUCUUUAUAUAUGAAACUUUCCCCAAAAAUCUUAUCACCCUUCUCCCGUACAGGACUGCAACCUGCGUCGUGGCGAGGCAUGGCGUGGCGUGGCAGGCAGCGGAGGAGGAGCUUGCGUGGAUGUCCCUCUUGUUCUCAUGUUCAUACAAGUGGGGAAAGAACCUCCCUUAUAAAGAGGUCCAACUCCCUCUAAACUAGCAAUGUGGGACUAAACUUUAGUUCCACCUCUUGCCUUACACGAAUGGGCUGCGUGGGCCUCUAGGAUUUAUUAAAAAUUUCUGAAACUGCUAUUGGGCUAGGCCCAAAAUAGACAAAAUUGCAGCAAAGCCGGACGCGAAACAGAGUUUUUUACGGACAGGUCACGUGUUGGGCCGUCGCUUCUUUCCGUUUGAGCCAAAACGGACGCGGCUGGAUAGGACGGGGUCUAGUGUUGGAGUUUGCGUGAGUAUCGCGUUGCUCGGCCGAUGAGACAGGCCCGAGCUACUGUGGCUUGCAUGUGCGAUUCUACCGAGCUGGUACAACUUUGGGAACCGCGCAACACACAACAUGCAACGCAACGCAACGCACAACAUGCAGGAGUAGUAUCUCAGAUACAGCGGCCGGCCGAACACACAGGCCAACAUGACCGUUGAUUGAGGACGCACAUGCCGGUCAAUGCCCGCAUGAGAUCCAGAACGGAUCAUUCUCCCUCCCUCCCUCCCGGCCGCUCAAAUACUUGCAUAAAUUCAAACUCAAAAAAGGGAAUCCAAUGACGAUGAUAGAUCGAUCGCCAUGAUUACCCAGGAGGUUUAAGCAAGUCCCAGGCGUGCCAAGUAAGUACGGUUUAGGUUGUCAACUUGUCAUAAAGCCCAACGGUCAAGGGGACACUGCAUCGAUCUUCUAUCAACCUACGCGUCGGACAUAUGGACGUGGCAUGCGUGCGUACGCUUGCUCGUACCCACGGACCUUGUGCCGUAGCAGCUGCAGCAGCACAAUAAUGCAGCCGGAGCGGCGACGCCACCACACCUGCGUACGUACCCUCGCGCGCAGUGGACAGAUAAUUGCGAUUUGCGGCUGGUUUUGCGGGGGGUCGCUGUCCUGGUAUGCCCGGCUGAGCCCGUCCGUCCGUCCGUCCGAUCCAUCGCGGGACAGCGCAGCGCAUCAACGAUGGACAAACAGAUCGGCUGUGCCGCGUAUGUGCUACGUGCUGGUACUGCUACAGUGCCCUGGCCCAGCCAACUCCAACUCGAAUUCAAACGCCAUAUGUAUGUAUGUAUGCAAUGCACGCUGCUGCCUGGCUUCAUUGUCUCACCACAUUUGUUUGGGUGCGCUUUAAUUUUACAUCUAUCUAUGCAACCAAAUUCUAAGGGCCACAUUGUUCUGCGCUGUCAUUGAUUGCUUGAUCGAAUUUAAGCGGUUUUUGUUUUUGUGAAUGGAUGCAGAUGUUAACGCAGCAGAUGAUUGAAUAAGAGACCAAAAAGCUGGAGUACAACCUCCGGUGUCUCCUUUCCCACAAAAUCGGCCAGCUUGCGCAAUGCUUGCAUUCGUUUCGUUUUUUUUUUUGCAUGGCAUUCGUUUCGAUUGAAACGCUUUUUUUUUCGAGGCCAAAAAGUGAGGUACUACUCCCUCCGUUAUAAAAUAUAAUGCUUUCUUCCCAUGCUUCAACUUUGUACAUAAAUUUAACCAACGAGACCGACUGCGGCGGGAGCAAAAGUUAUGCCAGUGAAUUGGUAUUCAAAAGAAGUUUUCAAUUAUAUAAAUUUUCUCCCACCACAGUCGGUCUCAUUGGUUAAUUUUAUGGUCAAAGUUGGACCUCAAAAAACGCGGGCGCACUAUAUUUUGAAAUGGAGGGAGUACUAAUUUGGUAUCUAGCAACUCCAAUGGGGCGACCCAUUUCGUCCGCUAGCGUCCGUUUGGGUUGGCGCGAACACAAAAGGCGGCCCAACGCACCGACCUAAACGGACGCGCGCCCGCUUGUCGUUCGCAUGCCGACCCAUUCCCGACCAAUUUCUGAGCCGGAUUUGCGUCGGCAAGGACACGAGACGGACGGGCUGGUCGGUGGCAGCCUCCACCAUUACCCUCCAUUUUCCCCAAAACCCUCCCGCCCGCGCAUGCACCCGCCCCACACCCGCCAUGGACGAUGACCUCGACCUCGACGCCGCCGCCGGCCUCGCCUCCCUCGCCUCGUCCGGCAUGACGACCGCCCCUCCGGUAAAAGCAAUGCUCGCGCCUCGCGCCCCGUGCAAGACCGCCGCCGCGCCCAAGCCAAAGAAGGCACUGACGCCCGAACAGCGGGCAAGGGAGUCGGCCAAGAGGAAUGGCCGGAGGCACGCCGCAGACGCGAGGGAUGAAGCCGUCGCUGUCGCUGCUGUCGCAGCCGCCGUGCAGCAGGAGGUCACCAACGCCCGCGUCGCGGCGGCAACGAGGGAGGAGCUCUAUAUGCUAGGGUUAAACCCUAGCCAGCACGGCCCCGUCAACACCGCCAUGGCCGCCGCGGCCAACACCAGCUCAUCCGCGUUCCCUCGGAUGGUGCUGCCCAACUCGCCCCGCGCGUCGGCUUGCACCCCGAUGCCCGACUUCCACGUGUACACGCAGGUCUCCCGCCUCUCCAGGGAGUGCUUGCCCGACGUGACCGUGGUGGCGCCUUCCACGCCUGCGCCCGCGCCCAUCGACCUCAACGCCAUACCGGUGGCCGGUGGCUCGUCAUCCGGGGGCGCGAGGAAACGCGCGCGGCAGAUGCCGGCGACGUGCUGCCGGACGCCCGCAACCUGUUCGACGGAAUGCCGGCCGCCGGCAACGAGGACUACAUGCAGAACCUCGUCUUCAAGGGUGGUGCGCCGGCCGCUGGCUACGAUCCCAACGAGACACAAAGCCAGGACGGCCGCGGGGCGUUCACGCCGGCCGCUGGCUAUGAUCCCGAUCAGGCGGCCUUCAUGCCUGAUCAGGUCGGCAUAGACCUGGACGGCUUCCCACUUGACCAAGAGUUUUCGGACGACUACGGGCAAGAGGAAGUGGACGAGUGCGACAUCGAAGUGGAGCCUUUGUUCGAGGACGAGCUCGCCAACCAAGCCACCGGGCCGAAGCUGAAGCGCAAGAGCAAGCGGACGAAGGCAUACACGGGGGCCGAGAACAAGCUUCUUUGCGGGUGUUGGCGAGACAUUGGACAAGACCCCAAGACGGGCGCCAAACAAAAGCAUUCAACUUUUUGGAUUCGUGUCCACCAGGAGUUUCAUGAGCGCAAAAAAGUUUCCGCCUUACCCAACAGUGAGCACGUGCGGGUGGGUGUCCAUUUCGAAGCGAUGGAGGGUGAUCCAACAAGAGUGCAACAAGUUUUGUGCCACUCUUGAAAGCGUUAAGGCCCGCCCCGUGAGCGGCAUCGGCAUGCAAGACAUGGUAUGCGAGCAAGCCGCCCUCUUUUGUGUCUUCAAGUUUAUGCUUGCGUGUUCAUUUGCAUACCGUUUGCCAAUAUGCUUGCAUGACAUACAUUUGUAGGCGUUUCAAGUUUUGGAGGUAUUCAAGGUCCAACACAACGGCAAGUGCUUCAACCUCUCCCAUUGCUUUAGAGUCAUCAAAGACGAGGAGAAGUUGAAGGAGCAAUAUGCCGCCCUCAAGUCGCGUGGGGGGAAGCAAGCCGUGGAGGAGGUUGGGGACGGCGAGCCGGCACAGCCGCGGGGGAAGACCAACUCCAAGAAGGAGGACAAGGGGGAUGUGGCAUUGAACGCUUUGAUCGCAAGCAUGGAGGGCAUGAUGAAUAAGAAGGACUCAAGGGAGGAGGAGCGCCGACGUUUCAAAGAAGAGCAAAUGAACGCCUUCAUGGAGAUCCAAAGGAGGAGGCUUGAGAUGGACGCAGAGAAGCAAGCCAAGAUGCUUGAGAUGGAGGUGGAGAAGCAAGCCAAGAUGCUAGAGAUCGAGGACGCCAACGCCAAGACCAAGGCGAAAGAAGUGGCUCUCGCGAGCAUGAUGACCCGGGUGGAGAUCAUGAAGGUGGAUCUCAACACCGUGUCGCCAAGGAAGAGGCCAUGGUUCGAGAAGAUGCAGGCCGACAUGAUCAAGUUCACCGACAAGUGAUCUCGUGACCGCGAGCGCCUUCCUUUUUUGUAUGACGGCUUGUGUGCUGGCAUGACCACGGGGCCGCGAUGGCGUGGUCGAACUCAAGUCCCACCCCUUUUUGUGUGUUGGCAUGUGUGCCGGCCGCUGGCAAAUGCGCCAGCAUUAACUGUGUGGUGAUAUUUUUUGAAGCCGGCAAUGUAUGCCAACGUUGGCACCGUUCCGGCACGAGACAUGGCCGCUGGCAAUGAUCUAUGGCCGCACUGCCGACUCAAAUGUAAAACAAGACUGACGUCCAGCGGGCGACCGACACAAACGAACAAAAAGCGGACAAAUGCGCCGUCCAUUUUGGGUCGGCCCGUUAGAGUUUGCUCUAAACACCCUGUAGAAAAAAGCGGUGCCUAAACUCAGAUGAUGUGCUUACCAAAUAAGCGCUCCGCUGGACACACUAUAUCAUAAACCUGCCAUAAAGCUGCUCUAUCCUAAUUUAUGCUAGUACUAGUAACGCGUUGUCAUAUUGGAUACGGAUAGAGUGAACAGCUCAGGAAAGAUUGCGUCCGGAUCAUCGCUCUGUCACGCCCACUAAGGCUGGUUGGUGCGUCCAUCAUGGAUUUGUGUCAUCCUUCUUCUUUCCGGUGACAGCGAAAACGCUAGCGUGGAAUUGUAUAAGAGAACGGUCUUUUCGGCUGAUCCUACUGCCUAGUACGUUUCAAAAUAGAUGAUUUAACUUUAUACGAACUUUAGGUGGGAGUAUUUGCAUAAAACUUUUCACCGGUUGAGUCGGAUCAGGGCCUCUGGCAAUGGAACUUGGCUAUUGAAAUGAUGCAUCGGUGGAUCCAUGACUGGUGCGUAGCUUUUUCGAGCCAUGAGCCCGGCACCAACGGGGUUACGGAUUUUGACGGGUCAUGCUUUGCAGUGCUCCUCGAUCGACAUUGAACAGAAGGCCGUGUGUUGAUGGCUUGACGCUGGAUAAUGAGUAGCUAGAAGAUUGAGAUUGCGCACAGGCACAGGAAACAUCUCUUUCAGAGUGACAUCAACAGCGACGGCCAACGAGAUUUGUCUGCACAUUUUCUAGGUGAAAAGCACGGUUUACAAUAGUUGAUUUUCCGUCGGAAAGAUCAUCUAUAUCUGUUGAUCUGUCACGUUUGCUACAUGUUUUCGCCUGUACUAAAUCAUCCAUCCAUCCAUCCAUCCAUCCAUCCAUCAUAGUCUAACAAUGAUCUAUAGAUUAGUACCAGAAUAAAAUCAUCUACUACUGCCCUGCUCUGAUUGACGAGAAACUUAGGACGCCGCGGAGAUGGUCCUGCGGCCGUUUGUUUAUCUUCGGUGUCGCCGCUCCCUGAACAUUUUUCGUUACAUGCGUGUGCGGCGGGGUGUACAUAUGGAUCUCCAGAUGUCGCCAACACAAGCGAUUGCGCCAAUCUCCACAUGCCGUGAUACUACCUUCCAAAUUGUACUUGCAUUAGUUGCUUCGAGAUUAACAAUUCAUAUCCGUUGAAUUCCUUCCUCCGGCGCAAGUGUGCAGUGCAAAGCUACAAUUCCAAGAGCAUGAACAUAGCCGAUUGGUGUGGUAGGUUGGAUUUUAUUAAGGCGAGGGCGAGGGUGGCUACCUUCCACAUGGCCCUCGUACUUCAGAUGCUGUUUGGGUACUCUCGACGGAAGGACACAAGCUUUAUGCCACAAUUUCGGCCGCAUCCAUCCACAUGGGCCGGUGGCUAAUAAGCCGUGGGAGAUUUCCCAGGAAAGAGCCGGCUCUGUUUUGUUCUAUGAACCAUGAUGCGCAUUGUUUCCACUAGUACAACUUUGGGCCUAGAUAAGUUAAGGAGAGUUUGUUUGACCAUAUUGCUAGAGUGUUGUUGAGAACGGAGCUUCUUGUGUGCGGUGAAAAAUGUCAAUCGGGACAAGCUCAAAAAACAACUCUUCCAAUUGUCAAUACUACUGUAUCUGUACUGUGCACCUAGUCCUGUAUGUUAGCACUAUCAUUAGCCUUUCUGCCGAUGCUGCCAAUGUCCAGAAAAUCAUCUACUAUGGCAGGUUCCGUGAACAUAGUCACACCCUGCCAUGAUUUAAGCUGGCUGCUCAAUUGGCGUUUGGUGAAUGCGGCCAAUCUAAUCCGCCGCAGCAACCAGGAAGCAGAUGGAUAGCAACACCAUAUUUAUUUAUUUAUUUAUUUAUUGAUGCAUUAGACGAACAAUCAUCAGCGUGCAUGACAGUGUACCACUGGUGUCUGGAUCCACUGUUGGCCCCUAGUAUUCGCAUACCAACAAAACAGCUCCAACAGUAAGGCAUCUUCUCUGCUCUGGUGCAACUGCAACUCAUUGCCAACGAUGGAGGAAAAUUAGAAUAUGCAUCCGACGAUUUUCUUUGAGUUUCCAACAGCCUACGUAUACAGUUUUGAUUUCUUCUUGUCCGUGAAAGACACGGAUGAUUGCAAAGAUUACAGCAAGUUUGUCCGGCAGAGGAGCCUCGCAUUCUCGCUAUAAAAUCCUACUAGCAGGCAUUUUCAGUGAAGGCCCCAAUGAUGAGCAGGAAUAGGUUGGAUUCGGCCGCGGUAGCUAUAUCCCGCUUGCAGCGAGAUGUAAGCUCCCGGCUGAAGCUUUCCCCAUAUCGCUAUAGUAACAGGACGGCCCUUUAUCUAUCGCAUCGGUAGUUCGCUCGCUCCCAUCGCUGGUUUCCUUCACUUCAUAUUUUUGGCUCGUUCAUUUUUUCGCUCGCUCACUCGUUUUUCUCUUUAAUUUUAUUUGUUUCUUUUUUGGUAUAUUUUUGUUUUCUCUGUUUUCUUCGUUUGUAUUACUAGUUUCUUCGUUUCUUUAUCGGUUUCAACUAGUUUUCCCCCUUUUCUCCGUUAUUUUUUUGUUUCUUUCCUGCUUUUCACUGGUUUCUUUUUCUUUCUUAUUUACUUCAUUUUUUCUUCAGUUUCUUUGUUCGUUUCUUGGUUUUGAUCGGCUUCUGACAGUUUCCUUUGUCUUUAUCUCGGUUUCACUAUUUUUCAUUAUUUAAUUCUUGGUUUUUCCUGCUUCUUUGUUUCCUUAUAUUUCUUUAUUUUUUCUUGGUUUUCAAUACACAUUCAACAUUUUUCGUAUACAUUAGACGAAUUUUCUAUUUAGAUGUUUAACACUUUGAAAUACAUGAUUAUCAUUUUUUCUGAAAUCUUAUAUCUUUUAUGUCUACCUUUUCCAUACACAUCAUACAUUUUUGGUAUAUAUGUAAUACGUUUUUCUAAUAGCUUACAUUUUUCAAAUACAAGUUAAACAUUUUAAAAUACAUGAUCAACUUUUUUCCUAUGUACAUUUUUUACAUUUUCAAAUGCUUGAUUAAUUUUUUUAAAAUACAAGAUUAACACUUUUUGACACAUGAUUAACUUUUUUCUAUACAUUUUAUUUUUUCUACAAAUGCUUGAUUAAUAUUUUUCAAAUACAAGAGUAACAAUUUUGAAAUACAUGAUCAACAUUUAUUCUGUACACACUUAAAAAAAUUUAAUUCAUUUUUUUGAAUACAUGGUCAUCAUUAUUCUAUACAUUUUAACAUCUUUUGCAAAUGCUACAUUAGAAAUUUUCAAAUGGAAGAUUAAUAUUUUUUAAAUACAUAUUCAACAUUUAUUAUGUAAACAUUUCACAAUUUUCAACUCUUGAUUAACAUUUUUUAAAUACUUGCUCGACGUUUUCUCAAAUGAUAGAUUAACAAUUUUCUAAUACAGCAUCAAUUUUUUUAAACACAUUGUAUUUUUAAUUCAUUUUUCGUAUACAUGAGAAACAUUUUUAACACACAUUUAACAUUUUUCAAAUGCUUGGUUGACAUUUUUUAAUGUCUUAUGUAGGGUGUUUUUUGGUAAUAUAUAUCUGGAAUAACUGGAAGUACAAAAAAGUGAAAAUAAUAAAGCAAAACAUGAAACAAAAAAGGUAAAAACAAAACAGAAAAAACGAGGUUGUGACCUCCUAUGCACCUGGGCCGGCACACCUGGAGCUCACCUUCACGUGAAGGAUGCGUACAUCUUGCAAUUAGUGACACAUAGUGUUGCCCGGAUUUGGUUUCCUCCCAAUAUUCUGCGUUGUAGCAAAAUGAGUAGUUCCCGUUUGAAUUGACCAUAGAGGCAGGUGGUUUUCUAUUUAUAUAUUUGAGGUUCUUAAUGUGUGUAAAAAAUGAUCCUAACAUCAAGCGACCCUCAGAUAUAGGGCUGUGUGCAAAUAGCGAUUUCAUCCCAACUCCGAUUCGGUGCAUUCUGCAAAGUGGCGCACACGCCUAACACUGCUAUCUAAAAGGGCUGACCCAUGUAGACUUUUUCAUUUCCUUUUUCAUGUUUCAUUUUUAUGAAAUUCAUGAACUUUUUUCAGAUCUGAAUCCCGUUUUCAAUUGUUUUGUGAAUUUUUUUAUUUUCAAAUCAGUGAACUUUUUCACGAAUUAGUAAUUGUUUUCCCAUAUUUCGUGAACUUUUUGGAUUAAGAUUUUUUUAAAAUAUUUUGAACUUUUUAUUCGACUUUGUGAUCUUUUGUGAUAAUUUUUGUGAUCAUUUUCAUUUUUAUGAACUUUCCAAGUCUUGGACGUUUUUCAAAUCCAUGAACUUUUCUCGAAUUUGCAAUUUUCCCCAAAAUUUCAUGACAUUUUUGCACAUUUACUGAUUUUUCCUUAAAAUUUCAUGACAUUGUUAAACUUUUUUUUCUGUAAUUUUUUGUGAUUUUUUACUUUUUGAAAAGUAGAUAGUCAACUCUUCAUUGUCAACGGUUGCUCAUAGACUGGUCAACGACAACGGUCGUAAGUCAACCAGUUAACCAAUUUAAGAAAAACAUAACUGGGCCGGUCCAUAUAUUUCGCGCGUGAGCGCCAGUUGUCCUCAUUGUCACCUUUGGAAUUUUUCGCUAGAACAAUCAACCCAACGUGAACAUUUUUAAUUUCGGUACUAGAAAACCCAAAUUGUUACCCUCAUGAACCCACUGCAUACAUGGCCUUUUGCUAGCCCUCUGGCCCAAACACAAAUCCCCUCGCGUGAAAAAAAGCAAUACAUAGAAAACAUAAUUGCAAAACUAAAAAUAAAAAGAAUGCCAUGGCAGCCUACCAAACAAAAAUACAUGGCAAAUUUUUACACGUCAAUUAAAAAAACAUACAAGAAAUUUUCCAUACUUUAUAUUUUCAUUUUCAAAAUGCACAUAGUAAUGAAGUUGCCAUUAUCAAAUAAAUAAAUAAAUUGCCAUGCUCUUAACAAUAAAAUUUUCAUGCUUUUAAUAAUAAAAUUUCUAAAAAAAUUAUGUUUACAAAACAAAAUAGACAUCUGAAACAUUACAAUAAAAUGUUUUAAAAAUUGCCAUGUGACCAUUUUAAAAAUUUAUAAAUGUGUCAUGUGCAUUUUUAUUUAAAAUGCCAUGUACCUAAACAUUUUUUUUUUGCAUUUUUGCCACCUAAAAAUUCAAAAAUAAAAAUGAGGAGUUAGUAUUCGAUCCCGAGUCUCCCAAGUGGAGGCUGUACACGCUAGCCAGUCUGGGCGGCCCCGUUUGGUUGGGAUAGCGUUCAUGCGGUCUUUGUUCCUCAACCAACGAGUUUUUGGAUCUGACGUGAUGAGUAGGCCUGCUUCAAAAUUCAUGUAAACGAUUGAAGGGUUGUUGGGGGCGUUCGCUGGAUCCUCACCCCCAACGAACGUUCGCGAGUUAUCAUUUCUGUAAAAAAUAAGAGAGAAUCCUCACGCCCGUCGGGCAGACGACGGCAGGGCCNNNNNNNNNNNNNNNNNNNNNNNNNNNNNNNNNNNNNNNNNNNNNNNNNNNNNNNNNNNNNNNNNNNNNNNNNNNNNNNNNNNNNNNNNNNNNNNNNNNNNNNNNNNNNNNNNNNNNNNNNNNNNNNNNNNNNNNNNNNNNNNNNNNNNNNNNNNNNNNNNNNNNNNNNNNNNNNNNNNNNNNNNNNNNNNNNNNNNNNNNNNNNNNNNNNNNNNNNNNNNNNNNNNNNNNNNNNNNCUUUCUAUUUAAUUUCUAAACAAGAAUGUGGGCAAUGAACCAAGUAUGCCCAUGGUGUGGCGACAACAUGGUAGGUGCGUGUCACCAGGUGGUUCUCACUUGCAAUGGAAUAUGCGUAUAUUUUCAAGAGGACUUUCUGGGGAGGACGAUACGUUUUAAUUAAACUUAAGUUAUGGCUGAUGAGUUGCUCACGUAUAUAAAGUUGCGUCCAAAAAUAUCUAAUUGUUAUUUUCUUUCAGUUAAGCUUAGUGCAUUUCUUGGUGGUGAAGAGCCGAGUCCAUGGCGUAGGGUGAACCUGCCCAUGGAGGUGGAGGACAAAUUUGAGUUCAAGAUGGCCAUGUUAAAGAAUGUCACACUCCUCACCCUUAUGGUCACCAACGAGGCACAUCCAAUGUAUUUUGUGGUCUUCGUUGGAUAUAGAUUGCAAUAGAAUUAGGGAUGGAACAUGAGAAGGGGUUCAGUCUAUUUCUUGGCGAAGUAGAUGAUAACAACAAUGACAUCUAUUUGUGGUACAAUGCCCCUAGUCAUCAUAGCAGUUUCACUAUCGAUCUCGAUUUUGUACGCGUACUUCUAUCGUACUAGCACUUCAUUGAACAUAUAUAUUAUGCGGUUAUCAUAGUGUUAUGUUUAAGUGUUAAACAUUAGAGAGUUGUUAAACUAAAGUGGGUUCUUGAACUAUUAUAUAUAUGACUAUGAUACUAUUAUUACUGUUAAACUUAAAAAGUUGCCACGCCAGCGAAAAACACUACCAUGACAACGUCUUUUCUUUUGGCCUUAUAAAAUAUAUCACUCGCGGGCGACAGUCAAUACCCGCCGCAGGUAUAAACAUUACCAGUGACAGGCGACACUGAGAAGUUAGCAAUGUCGGGAGUUUAGUGACGAGCGAUCCUAAAAACCUCGCCCGUCACUCAUGGACUUUUGACGCCUGCCAUUGGUAGACGGUUCUGCAGUAAAGCCCCCUCCCCUCGAGCUGGCCCACGUAUUGGAUUCAGCGAGGAGUAGGCGUACUAUACUCCUGUGAGAAUCCAAAAUGACCGGAAAAUGAGUGCGGCAUGGAGCGACCCUCGGUUCGUAAGUUGCAGCUAGGCACGCGGGACCAGGUAGACGAGCAUGCACGUUCACGCUGGGCUUCAUGAUACCACGGAUGCAAGGGCAAAUGAGGGAAGCCAUGACGGGCGUGUUGGCGAGGGCAAGCGGUGGAGGGCAGUGAGGACCUGCCAGGUGAGAGGCGUGGUGUAUGUGCGGAAUCUGGCGCGCACGNNNNNNNNNNNNNNNNNNNNNNNNNNNNNNNNNNNNNNNNNNNNNNNNNNNNNNNNNNNNNNNNNNNNNNNNNNNNNNNNNNNNNNNNNNNNNNNNNNNNNNNNNNNNNNNNNNNNNNNNNNNNNNNNNNNNNNNNNNNNNNNNNUUGUAGUAUAAUGAUGAUUGGUGUUGCGGAAAUAUCGUGAUUGUUGUGAAUACGCAAUGAUCGCACGACCUCAAUACUUGAACAAUGCAUGCAUAGGCCGGCGUGGCGGGCGUGUGACACAUGCAUUGAAUACCAUACGGAGUAUACAAAUGACAGCACGGCUAUCUAUCUUUAGUUUGCUAAGAAAAGAUGAUUCUUGCCCAUUUCAGCAUUUUCAGAUUUUCCAUUAGAAAAUAUCAUAGUUGUCUUGGACGCCAUAUAUGUGUCUUUGCUCCGCCAUACAGCUUGCUCAAACAAAGCUUGUCCGCUUAGCCCGUGGGUCACAAUGGCGACACCGUUACACCCAACAUUCCCCAAAGAGAAAAAUGGCGACACCAGACCAAAUCACAAAAAGCAUGUGAUUCCUAGUAUACGACUUCAAUGCGAAUACGCGUUAUACUCUCUCUGUUCCUAAAUAUUAGUAUUUUUAAAGAUUCCAAUGUACGAAGCAAAAUAAAUGAAUCUACAUUUGAAAAUAUAUACAACCCGUAUUGAAGUAUCUAAAAGGUUUUAUACUUAGAAACAGAGUAGUACAUAUAUGUUGUUUGUGUGGCAGUGGACUUCUGUCAAGUGUCAACUACCCACUUCAUUUCUAAAUAUAAGUCUUUUUAAAGAUUCUAACAUAGACUAUAUGCAAAGCAAAAUGAUUAAAUCUACGCUCUAAACUGCAUUCAUAUAUAUCCUUACGUAGUUCAUAUUAAAAUCUCUAAGAAGACCUCUAUUUAGGAAUAAAGGGAGUAGAAGAAGAAGAAUACUUCAAAGACGAUGAGAAAAUAUGACCGUAGACUAUGCACCACUUGGUUCGUAUUGUCGUACUUUUUUUUGAACAUAGUACAAACGCAAGCGCUCAUAUACACGCGCAUACACUCACCUCUAUGAACGCACACACGCACACCCUACCCCUAUGAGCACCUCCGAAAGACUGAGACGGCAUAUCAUCUUGAAAUUUACGAAGUCGCCGUAGGCACCUCGUCGUCGAUGGGAACGUCUCCUCCCACUGAAUGCGCAUCACCGGAAAUCCUAAAAUAAAUCCAGGAAUAAAUGCGAGCACCAUGACUUGAACCCUGGUGGGCUGGGGAUACCACAGUCCCUCUAACCAUCCAACCACAGGUUGGUUCGCUUGUACUGUCGUACUUACAAAGGUACACGGCUAGGUACCCGUAACACAUCAAAAUCACUUGGUGCCUUUGUAGGCACAUAAUAAAAGUCCAUGCAAAAAAAGGCACAUAAUAAAAGUUAUUCAAUGGAAAGACAAAAAGUUCGAUUUACUUUUCUUUAUGCGUGGCUCGCUUAAUCAUAUUUUAGCCGAUUAUUUGGGGAGGGCCAUUUUGGCUCUAAGGAGCAUAUGCUCUCGGAUGAAAAUAAUCAAAAUAAACAAUAAAUAAAUUUUUAAAAUUCUGAUUUUCUUGUGUGGAUGUUCAUGUUAGUCUAACAAGCAUUUUGACAAUUUUCAUCGAAAUGGGGUAGUAACGUUUCGUCGGUGAAAAAUAAUAAUUUAUGUGUAACAUUUGGAGGAGGUAACAUUUAGUGUUCAGUUUGUUUUCUCGCACAUGUCAAAAUUCUAAAGCUUUUUCACUAAAGAUUUGCAGGUAGCAUUUGGGUGUGCCAAUGAACAAAUCAUUUUUUUAAUAUUUUUGACAUUUGCAAAAUACAUUUUUAACGGGCAGGAGCAUAUGCUCCCAAAAGCCGAAUUGGAUUUCUGGAUUAUCUAUAGGUGCGCAUGUUCUAAACUGCUGCACUACUUAGAUGUAUUGAGAAUUUCUCAAGAUGUACAAGUACCUAAGUCCUAAAGUCAAGCAACCAUCUUGCAGUCCAUUUGCGUUUCCCUUAUAACUAUCUGGCCAUGAACAUUUUUCCUCUCCAUAUGAACUAUCACCACCACAGACGUAUCCAAAGUAUACACGGUGCUUCUAAGUGCUCUAGCAGACCCCCUAUAAAUUAUAUGUGAGGAGAAAACAAAUCUUGUAUAGAGAAUUAAGCCCCUUCAAGCAGAUCCCCUAAAACCAAAAAUUUCUUAAAUCCAACCACCAACCCCAACUAAAAUCACCCCACCCUCCAAUUAUUAGUCAGCCGUGGCUUUUCUUCGAAAAAACCACGCCCCCACCCGCUUGCUAGCAGCUUUCCCGCCCAACCCCAAUGCUGCCACCGAUGCCGCACCGUCACCCGUCCCUGACACUGACGACCGGCAUAAUCGAAAGCCCCUCCCCUGCCGCACCCCUAGGCACCCUCGCCGUGUCGGAGACCCACGGCAAGCCACACAUUUGGGGCUGCUAGCAUGAAAAUGACGAUGGAAAGGGAAGAACAUCAUCAAUAAUAGUUCAUCGCCUGCAGCCGUUGUGGGUGGCACCGGCGCGACUAGCCUACCGCUCUUUCCCAAGCCGACCGACAAACAUGAGUGUCAGUAGUUGUCCAAGGCAGCAAACAACACAAUGGCGACGAUGAAGAAGAAGAAUGUUGCCUCCCCUACGCUUCCCUUCCUACCUCCUAUGGCCCCAAUGACUACCUCAUGGCCUUCCGCGGCUGCCACCACCCCUUCCACCUCCAGUGGCCGAGGACGAGCCAGAUUCAAACGUGACCACGAGCGAGGCCGAUGUGCUUGAGAAUAUGCUCAAGAGGUAAUAUUUCUUUCUUUCUUUUAUUUUUUGUUUGCAAUCGCUUAGGAGAGUGAUGUAUGAUUUGGUAUUGAUUGGUAGGUUCUUUCUUUUCUUUUGUAUUGGGCAACUGGAUGAUGAUUCCACUGCUUACUUGGAAGAAUUGAAUGUAAGCCACAACCUCCGCCUCGUCAACAUUGCCAUGGCAGUGCCAUAUACCACACAAGAAAUGUUGAGGUGGUGGACGAGGUCGACGAGGUGGAGGAGAGCCAAGUAACCAAUAAGAGGAGUAGGUCAUGCAAAUACAAGACUGAGGAAGGUAAAUAUUUCUGUGAAGCUUGGCUCACCAUAUCUCUUGAUGCCAUGGUCGGUGCCGACCAAACAAAGGAGAAAUUUUGGCAAAAGAUCAAGGAGUACUAUAAUAACAAUGUCACUAUUCCCUCCAACUGCAUAAUCGGGUCUCUUAGUCAUUGUUGGACGAUAACCCAAGAACAAUGAAACCGGUGGGCCAACGGUGGUGGUCGCGGCAGUGUUGGUAGCGAAGAGAGUGGUGUUGUUGAUGGUGAUGGUGUGAGUGCGUGAGGUCCAUUUGAACUAUGAUGGCUUUUGAUCCACCAUGUGUUUGUUGUUUCAAAUGAACUUGUUCAUUCAGUGCCUUUUGGCACAAAUUAUGGUUAUGUUUGAUGGAUUCGAUGAACUUUAUUUAUGCUCUUAGGUGAAUUAUGAUAGUCUAUGUUAGUGUUGGAUUGUGAUUAAUUUGUUUCAAUUGUUUGAGAAAUAAUUGUUAUUCUUUUUUUAUGAUAGGGGAUUAGCUAGCUGAGAAAAAGUCAUCUUGCUAAAAGAAUUUUAGAUAAAUGGGAUAGAGAGUUUUUUUGUUGGAUUUUAGUAUAGGUGAUCCACAAGAGAUGCCCUGAGCAGAAUCCUACAAUUGACAAGUGAAUAUUAGCUUGACCACACAUGUUAGAAAUUUGUCUGUUUGCGAACUAACCCGUGGUCGGAUGAUUAGAAGGACAGUGGUAUCCCGGCCCACCAGGGUUCAAGUACUAGACUUGAUAUUGGUGCUCGCGUUAUUCCUGGAUUUAUCUGAGGCUUCCGGCGAUGUUCGUUGAGUGAGAGGAGACGUUCCCGUCGACCACGAGGUGCCUACGGUGACUUAAUAAAAUCUCAAGAUGUUGUGCCGGCUCAGUCUCUCAUAGGUGCUCAUAGGGGUAGGAUGUGCGUGCAUGCGUUCAUACGGGAUGAGUGUAUGCUCGUGUAUGUGAACGACUUUUUUAAAAGCUCUGGACAGUGGGGUAACCCCCACUGACUUUAAUUAAUCAAAAGGAAAGAGUACAAAUUACAUGGGAUAUUUACAUCAUGAAUAGGUGGGGUAAAGAGGAACAAGAAACAAAGCCAGAACAAGUGUGGCAGUAACAGUCUUGGAGGUGUUAGCUGUGAGUAGAUCAAUGGAAGGGUGUAACCCCUCCUUGGUUCUGUGCUUCAUGAGAGCAAAGUCCUCCUUAAACCUGGCCAGCCACGAGGCAUGAGAUGGUACCACUCCUCUGAAGUGUUUAUUGUUGCGUUCUUUACAAAUCCCCCAAGUAGCAACAAUAAAUAUUUCCAAGAACAUUGGCCUGGUCUAGCCUCUCUUCACAACAUGCAAUAAAUGGAGACGGUUUCCAUCCGCUAGCCAAGCAAUCCACACGGAAUUCCAGAAUGCAACACUGAAUGAACAAUGAAAAAACAGGCGCUCUACAGUUUCAUCUAGUGGGCUCGAGCAUACCAAGCAUGUGUGUAUGUUACCUUACAGCGGUACAUUGCGCUUUCUCAACAUGUCCCUUGUGUUGAUACGAUUAGCCAAGAGUAGCCAUGCAAAAAAAAUUCCACUUCAUUGUACAUUUUGACUUCCAUGUCCAUGAAAACACGUCAUCAACCUGCAUGUCCCGAAAGCAGUGUGUCUUGUACUUGCUAGCUUGGAAUGGCGAGCCACCCCAAGUACAGAUCCAUCUGUCAGGCUGAUCGAUGUCAAUAACCGUAUCCUGAACCUCGGCCUGAAUGUCCCGAAUCUCCAAUCUGGCUUGCGGUGAUAGACGAAGGUGGAAGUUUUCCCCAAAGGUGUUUGUUGUGAACAUAUUUUGCACAGACACAUCUUCUGUCUUAGCAAAAGAGAAGGCCCUUGGGUGUCUUCCAGACUGAAUGUCAUGACACCAUAAGUCUUUCCAAAACAAGACCGUAGACCCAUCUCCAACCUCCACAUGUGUAACCCAUCUGUAAGUUGGUGACAACUUAAGAAUUUCAUGCCACCAAAAUGAUCCACAAGCGUCAGAGGCAUGUGCUAUCUUGUUUUGGUAGUAGGUUGUCCAAACUAAGGAGACCCACGACACAUCAAGCUAGUUAUAAAACUUAUGCAUUUGCUUGAGGAGGAGCCCUUGAUUUUGAACUUUGAGAUCCAAUAUACCAAGCCCACCAUCGCACUUAAGUCUACAGACGAUAUCCCAAGCCGCAAGGGAGUAAUUUUUGAGGCCAUCCUCAGAUUUCUUGGCCCAAAGGCAAUGUCUACGAAGCUUGUCAAGAUGUUCCAAAAUUUUUGGCGGAAUUUUGGUGGAGCACAUUGCAUAAAUGGCCAGUGAGGUAACCAACAACUUCACUAGUGUGAGCUUAGAGCCAUAAUCUAGAAGGGACGGGCUAUGGUUAGUUUUCUUUCCACCGAAGCAACCAGGGGCAUCAUAUCUUGAACAGAAGGACGAGUGAUGCCCAUUGGCAGCCCCAAGUAUGUAAAAGGUAACGUCCCAACACCACAUCCGAAGAGAGAUGCCAGGACAGGCGCACGAUCAUCAUGGAUGUUGAGUGGUAUCAUGGUUGAUUUUUGAAAGUUAAUUCUAAGUCCAACCGCCAUGCAUACUUCUGCAGAAUGGUUUUCAUAUGGACCACUUGGUCUUCCACCAUCGGCAUGAUCACGAUUGUGUCAUCGGCAUACUGUAUCACAGAGUAGUCACUAUCCUGGGUAUGUAUUGGUCAAUCAAUCAAACCUCUAGCAUGCGCAUCAUUGAUCACUUCCUGUAGGAGAUCGGCCACUAGUAUGAAGAUGAGCGGGGACAAUGGAUCGCCUUGACGCACACCACAAUGACAGAAGAAUUGUCUUCCCAGUGUACCAUGCAACAACACUAAUGAUUUACUAGAAGAGAAUAAACAUUUGAUUUAGGGAUCAAUGUCUGAAUAUUGACUAAACAUGGUACACGAUCAGAUACUGGUUUCCCUAAACGUAAUAGCAUUGUAUUUGGGAAGCUAGUGGUCCAAUGUAGUGAGGUAAAGUGCCAAUCAAGCUGCUCUAGCAAGGGAUGAUUCUGCAUAUUGCUCCACGUGAAAGAUCGCCCUUUGAUUGGGAGCUCAAAAAAGGCUUGCGCUCCGAUGAUAUCAUUGAACGUUAACACGUCAUUCACAUUUCCACCGGAUUUUUUUGUAUUAUCAGGUGCUCUGAUAAAGUUAUAAUCCCCGAUGAUGAGCCAAUCUUCAUCAUCAGGUAUAUUUAUAUUUGAUAACCAAGAAAUGAAGAGAGCUCGCUCCUAGGCAGCACAAGGGCCAUAAACAUUCACACGAGUCCACACAUUAUCCAAUCACAUGGAAGUAAAUCUAAUGCCGAGAGCAAAAGAUUCAAAAAAAUUGGAUUGAACCAGAGAACACAGAACUAUUCCAGAUUGUAAUAAUAACCCCAGAAUUACCAAAAGAAGGAACAAACGCAAAUUUAUCAAGUUUUUUGGUGCAGAAUAGUUUCACAUAAGCAGCAUCAAAAGUAUCAUGCUUAGUUUCUUGCAGACAAAUAACUGAACAACCACUAAGAUCAAUAGCAUUUCGAAUGGCAAGUUGUUCCUUUUCUGAAUUUAUUCCAUGAAUGUUCUAGCACAAAACGUUCCACUGCUUCUUCAGGUUCAUGGGCGAGUAUCAGCUUGACCGCCCCCCGACAAGCUUGCUAGCAGCUUCUUAGGACUCAGCUCAUUUCUGUCGAUGACGCACAAAUUGAUGCCCUCAUUUGGAUUGUUUUGAUCGGUGUCGGUUGGGGUAGAGCUCCAUCAUGUGAAGAACUGGGUCUUGCCUGAAUGUUGACAUGUGGAGCAUUAGUUUUGUGGCAUUUGUGAUCGAAGGGGUCACGCGGGCCUUCACCUUGGAGGUGAUGCUCUUACCAUCAAAAGGUUGAGGGAUACGAAAUCCAUCAUGCCUUGUAGAUCGAGGGCUGCGUCUGAGCUGCACGUAUCCACCGGAGCUUACUCAUUGGAGAUCAUGCGCGCAAUAGGAUUUGCAGACUAAUGAACAUGAAGUAGAAUAGAGUGUUGCUCCUCCAAAUGCAGAAUUGACAGAUGUGGCUGCUCCUCUAGUGCCAGGCUAUCAAGACUGCUAGAAAUGUCCUCAAACUGCUAGUUCUGCACUUCAUACCUAGUAGGCUCAUAAGCACUUGUGAUCACUUGAUGAUCAACUAGCAAAUCAAGAUUGAGACCAACACAGAAAGUUUCUCCAAAAAUGCUACCAAGUAUGUCCCUCUCUGGCUGGAUGUUAUUUAGUAUGUAUGAGCAGUAUUGACAAAGCCGUGUCUGCAUAACUUUGAAGGGAUUUAAGGGGAAGAUUGCCUCACCUAAAUGCACCGGUGACAGUAAAGAAGGUGUGUAGAUCCUCUUAAGCAUGUACCCAAUCCAGCGAAGGAGCGCUGCAUCAUUUGUGACAAGUAAAGCAGCAAAAGACCCUCCAGCACGAACAAAAGCAAACCUAGCAACUGGUAAGCCAUUGAUGAAAUUGUCAGCCAACUCUUCCACCUGUGAAACUUCAGACCAGACAUCAAAUAAGUUGUCCACAUCAUUAUGUUCCUGGUGAACACCAUCCACCUGAGAGGGGCCAUCAUAUUCAAAGAACCUCUUGAAACUGAAACCUGUGUAUGGUGGAGGGACCAUGAGGGAGUCGUGGAUUAGGGGGUCCUCGGGUGUCCGAUCUAUUCGAUACGGGCCGGACUGAUGGGCCGUGAAGAUAAAGCUGAAGACUAUCCCCUGUGUCCGGGUAGGACUCCUAUAUGCGUGGACGGCAAGUUUGGUGUCCGAUGUACUAUUUCCUUCCUCUGCAAACCGACUCUGUACAACCCUAGGCCCCUCCAGUGUGUAUAUAAACCGGAGGGUUUAGUCUGUAGAGGCUAUCAAAAUAAUCAUAGGUUAGACAGCUAGGGUUUAGCUAUUACGAUCUCGAGGUAGGUCAACUCUUGUAACCCCCAUACUCAUCAAAUACAAUCAAGCAGGACCUAGGGUUUUACCUCCUUUAAGAGGGCCCGAACCUGGGUAAACAUCGUGUCCCUAUUGUCCCUUGUUACCAUUGAUCCUUAGACUCACAGCUUGGCCCCCCCUACCCGAGAUCUGCCGGUUUUGACACCGACAUUGGUGCUUUCAUUAAGAGCUCCGCUGUGUAGUCACGAAAAAAGCGAUCUAUGGCUCGCCUUGUCAUCAACAACGAUAUCACUUCUGGAAGGAGCCUAACUUCAGGACAGGUCCUCCAGCUCGGCAGUUUCACCGUGGGCGCCCGCAUGGCCAUCAAGCCGACAACGUCCCCCGGGAUUGCCAAACACCACCCCCGCAUCGGUCUCGAAUACUCCGAAAUGAUGGAUCUGGUGGACAUCUCGUCCUUAAACGAGCUGCUAGAACGCAUCGCCACCCUGGCGCUUUCAACAGACUAUGGUCGGAUCAGGCUUAAACCUGACCAGAGGGAAAUCAAUCUCCCGCCGAUCACUCAUUUGGUAGCGGUCGUCGAGGAACGAGCCGAAAACACUUCUUCCCCUAAAUUAAAGACUAGCUAUGUUUGGAUCUCUGAACCCCUUGAGCUGGAUACCCUUCCUUUGGAUGGGACUCCGCGCCCCCCAAACUCAGGGCUGGACAUAGGGUCCGGGGAGCACUUGGAUCUUCCCGGACCCGAACUGGUGACCUCAGAGAUUUUGCAAGCUCCGGACACAACUUUGGGUCAGGAUUUGAGUUUUAGCCCACCCACACCCACCACAAUCAAUACUCUCCAAGUAAUUCAGGCCCUCCAGACAUAUAUGACCUGAUGUAUGUACGGCAGCAACCUCAGGAAACGGUCCAUCACUUUUGGGCCAGGUUCCUACUUGUCAAAAACAAGAUUAAAGAUUGCUGCGACGAUGAUUCAAUUUUGGUCUUUCAUUGCAAUUAUACGGACGAGGGAAUUCUAAAUGCCCUCGAUCGCCGUCGCAUACAGAGUUUCACAAAAUUAUCGCACUUAGUACGGAAGUACUACGCGAUGGAAAGCACAUGGAAGGCCCAGAAAACCCGGUUGGAACCCGCUGCCUUCAAGCAAUGUACUGCUCGGGCAUAACAGAUACACCCUUACGAGGCAUUCGACCAUAAGCUCGUUGGCAAGAGAAACAAACCCUUUACGGGAUACAGGUCCAUUCUUGACGAACUCCUCGACAAAUCCUGUCUGAUACAUGCGAUGCCGAGCACUUACGAGGCAUCCGACCAUAAGCUCGUUGGCAAGAGAAACAAACCCUUUACGGGAUACAUGUCCGUUCUUGACGAACUCCUCGACAAAUCCUGUCUGAUACAUGUGACGUCGAGCACUGACUCAACUCACAGCCUUUGAGCAUGUUGGGUACUCCGGCAGGUAGCUAAAAGUGGAGAGGCCGUCCUCACCACCGCCACUCCAGAGAAGCAUUCUCCGGAGGAUGAUGAUUUUAACGUCCUUACGGUCUUCGAGACUUUCUCUUGAAAUAAUCGGCGUAAGAGGGCACUUCGCGACCUUGCCAAAGUCCACCAAGUAACCGCAGUGAGCCCAUGAAAUGACACGGCAAUAACCUUCACCGCUGAUGAGGGCCCGAUCAGUCCGAGCACCCGCCACCUUAGUACUAAGCCCCAUUGUGGAUGACUUUCGACUUACCAAAGUGCUCAUGGACGGCGGUAGUGGGCUUAACCUCAUCUACGAGGAGACGCUCGACAAAAUGCAGAUUGAUAGACCACGCAUCAAGCAAAGCAGUACCACCUUUCGAGGCAUCAUCCCCGGACGAGAAGCACGAUGUUCGGGGAGAAUUAAACUUGACAUAGUAUUCAACAUGCCUAAAAAUUACAGGUCAAAAGAGUUGCUCUUUCACAUUGCUCCCUUCAAUAGCGGAUAUCACGACCUUCUAGGGCGGGGCGCUUUUUCAUGCUUCCAAGCUGUACCCUAUUAUGGGUACAUGAAGCUCAAAAUGCCAGGGCCCAAUGGAAUAAUCACAGUUACAAGUGAUCCGGAUAAAGCACUCCGUGCCGAAAACAAAACCGCAUCCUUGGCCCUUGAGGCACUGUCCGAAGCCUUUGCGGCCGAAGAACUAACCACCCUACGAUCCACGGUGGACAAGGAUGAUGUGAUUCUCGAUAAGAGACCUAAAUCCACUUCGUUCAAACCAGCAGAUGAAAUAGUUAAAUUUCAAGUGCACCCGACGGAUCCUAAUAAAACAGCAUCCAUCGGAGCACAGCUGGAUCCAACGGUAGACGCCGCCUUGCAUGCAUUCCUACGUGAAAAUUGGGAUAUCUUUGCCUGGCACCCUUCGGACAUGCCCGGGAUCCCACGCAGACUGGCCGAACACAGCCUCAACAUAAUCAAAGGGUUCAAACCAGUCAAGCAAACGCUUCGGCGAUUUUCCGAACCCAAACGACAAGCUAUGGGGGAGGAGCUAGCCAAACUACUCAAUGCCGGGUUCAUCAGAGAAAUCAAACACCCAGAUUAUCUAGACAACUUGGUCAUGGUGCCGAAGAAGAAUAAAUCUUGGCGCCUUUGCGUCGAUUUCAAAGACCUCAAUAAGGCUUGCCCUAAAGACCCUUUCCUGUUGCCCCACAUUGACCAGAUUAUUGAUGCGACCGCAGGACACGACUCAUUGUGUUUCGUCGACGCUUACUCCUGAUACCAUUAGAUUAAAAUGAAGGAGUCCAACCAAGCCGCAACGGUGUUCAUCACCCCGUAUGGGCCUUUCUGUUUCAACACUAUGCCUUUUGGGCUUAAAAACGCUGGUGCCACUUACCAACUCAUGAUUCAAACAUGCUUAUAAAAACAAAUCGGAAGACAGUUGAAGCGUAUGUGGACGACGUGGUCAUCAAGACUAAACACAUCGAACCAUUGGUGGACGAUCUCCGCCUCACAUUUGACAACCUCCGAACAUACGACAUACGACACAAUCCGGAAAAAUGCGUCUUUGGCGUUCCAGCUGGAAAGCUACUGGGGUUCAUUGUCUCCCAUAGAGGAAUCGAAGCAAACCCAGCUAAAAUCCGAGCCUUGUCGCAAUUGGCCACACCAACAGACUUAAAGCAGGUCCAAAAACUAGCAGGGUGCGUGGCGACUUUGAGCCGCUUCAUCUCUAGAUUAGGAGAAAAAGCAUUACCACUUUAUAGACCACUUAGACGCACCGACAACUUUGAAUGGACGGAUGCGACCACAGCUAGAUUGGAAGAAAUAAAAACCUUAUUAGCAGGAAACCCAAUCCUAGCCGCCCCAAGUGUUGGCGAGCCAAUGUUGCUUUAUAUAUCUGUAACUCACCAGGUAGUGAGCGCUGUACUCGUCGUCGAGGGAGGGGAAGAGGGACAUAAAUUCCCCAUCCAAAAGCCAGUGUAUUACAUAUCGGAGGUCCUUACACCAUGCAAAUCCCGAUACCCUCACUACCAAAAGAUAGCUUACGCGGUCUUUAUGGCAUCCCGAAAACUCCGGCACUAUUUUCAAGUGUUCGACCACGGUGGCAUCUGAAGUACCACUUAACGACAUUAUAAACAAUAGGGACGCCAUCGGCCGCAUAGCUAAAUGGGCCACUGAGCUCUUACCGUUUGAAAUAACAUACAAGCCGUGCCGAGCUAUUAAAUCUAAGGUGCUGGCCGACUUCGUCACCGAGUGAAAGCCGAGCUCCCUAAAGAGUACAGUUCACACUCUAACUGGAUCAUGUACUUCAAUGACUCUAAAAUGCUAGCCGGACUGGGGGCUGGCGUCAUCUUGACAUCCCCUACGGGGGACACAGUCCGCUAUGUGCUGCAAAUCAUGUAUACGGACUCCAAUAACGCAGCCGAAUACGAGGCACUUCUACAUUGUCUCCGCAUGGCUGUCUCCAUGGGCAUACAACACAUAGAGGUGUGUGUCGACUCAAACCUCGCAAUAUCUCAGGUAAAUGGAGAGUUCGAUGUAAAAUAUCCAAAAAUGGCGGCAUAUCAAAACACCGUAUUAAAAAUAUCGGCUCGGUUCGAGGGGCUUGAAUUUCAUCACGUCGCUCAAGACAGUAACCAGGCAGCGGACAUACUCGCUCGAAUGGGCGCCAAGCGCGACCCCGUCCCGCCUAAUACCUUUGUGGAAAGGCUCUUCAAGCCAUCCGUGGUAUGGCAGGACGAGAGCGGAGAUGCCAGUACGGACCUGAUCACGCCCCCAGCAGCCGAACACAAUACAGAUAUCAUCGAGGGUUCGGAGUACCGGAAUAACACCCUCUGCUCAUGAGAACAUGGACGUUAUUGCUCCAUGGACCGAACCCUUCCUAGCCUACCUUAAUAGGCAGGAGCUUCCUGAUGAUCAAAAUGAGGCUCGUCACAUAGUUCGGCAUUCUAAAGCCUACAAAGUUCACGAAGGUGAACUGUACAAGAAAAGCACUACCAGAGUUCUCCAAAGGUGCAUCUCCGAAGAGGAGGGACGACAACUCUUGGCUGAAAUACAUGUUGGUCUGGGCGGCCAUCACGCCGCAGCUCGGGCCCUCAUAAGCAAGGCCUUCCGGAUAGGUUUCUUCUGGCCAACGGCCCGAGCAGAUGCACAAGCCCUUGUCCAACGUUGUGUGGGAUGUCAGCUUUUCGCCAAUCAAAGUCAUAUGCCUCCCACUGCCUUAUGGACAAUCCCCAUCACUUGGCCCUUUGUGGUCUGGGGGCUUGAUAUGGUCGGACCCCUUAAAGGGGAAGCCACAAAAAGAAAUAUUUACUGGUUAUGGUGGAUAAAUUCACUAAGUGGAUAGAGGCCAAACCAGUAAAAACAGCUGAAGCAGGACCGAUGACUAACUUUAUAUCCGGCGUGGUACACCACUAUGGUGUCCCGCAUAGCAUCAUCACAGAUAAUGGCUCCAAUUUUACACCUGGUAAGUUAAAAAACUGGUGUGCUAACUUGGGCAUCAAACUCGACUAUGCAUCCAUCUACCACCCUCAAACAAACGGUCAGGUUGAACGGGCCAAUGGCUUGAUAAUGAGCGGCAUUAAAUCCAGACUGGUGUGCUCCCUACGGGAGUCAGAUAAGCACUGGGUUGAGGAACUAGAUUUCGUGCUCUGGGGGCUGAGACUACACCUAACCGAACAACCGGAUACACACCUUUUUUCAUGGUACGGCACAGAAGCUGUCUUGUCCUGCGACAUUAUUCAUGACUCACCUCGAGUGCACAUGUACGAUGAGCGAGAAGCCGAGCUCGAUCGCAGGACGACCUAGAUGGCCUCGAAGAGGAGCGUGAUAUUGCACAAGCCCGUUCCACAUUUUAUCAACAAUAGGCCAGGCGAUACCAAAGCAGAGAAGUGCGGGCAAAGACAUAUAACGUCGGCGACCUCGUCUUACGUCUCCCGGAGAAGAAGAAGGACAAGCUCAAACCAAAAUGGGAGGGCCCCUUCAUCAUAGAUGAAGUUCUCACAGGAGGAGCCUAUCUCCUUCGUAAUGCAUCGGAUAAUCGCCUUGAGCCGAAUCCAUGGAACGCUGCUCAGCUCUGACGAUUCUAUGGAUAGUUCGGUAGCACCUUUUUUUUACUUUGACUAGGUUCCUUUUUUCUCCUCUCCUUUUUAUUUUUUCCCUUUCAUAUCCCAGGGUAUGUUCGGAUCUACCGAACUAUUAGGGGUACACAUCUUUAAAUGUAUACACCCACCAUAACUGGGGGUUUCUUUGACGAAGCUUAUUACUAAAAGCUUGUGGCUUACAUUGUUUAUGUCAUUUGUUCUAUACACUUUUUGCCAUUAUAUGCACCUCUAUGACCUAAGUUUUGGCCAAGCUGGGUUGCCUCGCUCGUGUGUUUAUACCCUAUGUCCCCGAUUGUUCGGCUAGGGUGUAAAGGGAGCACCUCUGCGAUUGUGACAACCGGGUAAUCCGGAUCUGUACCUCAGACAGGUGAAGCCGAAAGCUAGCGUUCUUAAGGGAAUAAUUGGCCGGCAAGCAACGACAGAUUAUUUACGUUUAUGUAAUUCUUCUAACAAAUAAGGGAUAGGCUGCCCAUAAUUCCAUAUUUCGGAUCGAAGCCUAGGCAUGCAUAAUUAAAGCAUGCCGACCCAAGGAAAGGAACCCUUAACAGAACUACUUUCCCUGGAAGAUGUUUCUUAUGUUAAAUAGUAAUAUAACAUAACUCCCCGAACAAAUUUUGUCUGUUUGAGCAAUAUGACCGGAUUGCCUGGUUUCCGGACAUAAUGAAUGCUUAUUACAUUCCAACUUGGUAUCCGGAAACACUCCAACUUCUUGUUUUGGAGGUUGAAGCCGAAGGCCUGUGAUGACAAAUUUUGUCAAGUUCGGCUGGAUAUAAGUUCGAUGAUAAAGUACAUUGAUACAUUGAAUCGAACGCCUACUCUUUAUCUAUGUUAUCUAUAAGACUCUUUAAACUACAGUCUUCUUGCGAAUAUUUCGUAGCUAUCAUCACUUGGUCAUACACCAAGUUCAUGGGAAUAUCUUUUCUGUCCGGUCCCUGAGGUCCAACUCGGGCCAUAUGAUUUGGAUUGAGCCCGGUGUAGCGCGUUUUCACCAUCGCCCAUGCCUCUUGUGCACCUUCCCGGCAUGCUGAUGCCUUCCAUAGAUCAAAACGGCACCGGGCACCUUUGAAUAGGUUUGCCAACCCCUCCAUACUUUCUGGAGGGGCAUCAGAUGGCCAUAAGGCCUUGGCCAUACUUCUCAUGGCUUUCCGGGCCCGCUCAUGCACUACGGAUAGCUCUUUUAGAACGUCGCCUCGAAAUCCGGAUACUUCUUCUUCAUGCCGCCUGGUUAGCAGACCUGAAAGAACAACAUUAUAACACUCCGAAUUAUGGGAUAGUAUGAGUCCCUUGGAUGGUUCAAAGGUCAUACCGAAUAUGCCGCCUUUCCACUUUUUAUUCUCUUUCUGUGCGUCAGAUAAUUGAGCCUUUAAGCUCUUUAUCUCUUCGGCUUGCUUAUCAUUUUCCUCCUCCAGUUUGUUCUUUUGAUCAAUGGUCAUCGUGACCUUAUUCAUUUCCUCUAGCUCUGUGGUGGCGACAUUUAGCUUUGUCCGGCUCAUUUCAAGCUCCUAGGACAACACGUUGUUCUUCUCUUUGAGAAUGUGCGGUCAUAAUGAUCGUUAAAUCGGUUCUAAACCGCUUCAAGUCUCGGGGGCACUAGCAUAUAUCUAUUAAAUUUACACAAACCAUUAUGCAUAUCUUUUAAAAUAGGUGAGCAACUCCAGCAAGUCCGUCCCAGGCAGCUCGAAUAUAUGCAUCCACGGUGCUGAGGGCAGUAAAUUCCUGCUCAGUAAAAAUUGGAGCACGCAUGGUCUUGAUGUCUACUACGCAACCUUCUUCUUGUAGACGUUGUUGGGCCUCCAAGUGCAGAGGUUUGUAGGACAGUAGCAAAUUUCCCUCAAGUGGAUGACCUAAGGUUUAUCAAUCCGUGGGAGGCGUAGGAUGAAGAUGGUCUCUCUCAGGCAACCCUGCAACCAAAUAACAAAGAGUCUCUUGUGUCCCCAACACACCCAAUACAAUGGUAAAUUGUAUAGGUGCACUAGUUCGACGAAGAGAUGGUGAUACAAGUGCAAUAUGGAUGGUAGAUAUAGGUUUUUGUAAUAUGAAAAUAUAAAAACAGCAAGGUAGCAAGUGGUAAAAGUGAGCGUAAACGGUAUUGCAAUGCUUCGAAACAAGGCCUAGGGUUCAUACUUUCACUAGUGCAAGUUCUCUCAACAAUAAUAACACAAUUGGAUCAUAUAACUAUCCCUCAACAUGCAACAAAGAGUCACUCCAAAGUCACUAAUAGCGGAGAACAAAUGAAGAGAUUAUUGUAGGGUUGAAACCACCUCAAAGUUAUCCUUUCUGAUCGAUCAAUUCAAGAGUCCGUAGUAAAAUAACACGAAACUAUUCUUUCCGUUCAAUCUAUCCUAGAGUUCGUACUAGAAUAACACCUUAAGACACAAAUCAACCAAAACCCUAAUGUCACCUAGAUACUCCAAUGUCACCUCAAGUAUCCGUGGGUAUGAUUAUACGAUAUGCAUCACACAAUCUCAAAUUCAUCUAUUCAACCAACACAUAGAACUUCAAAGAGUGCCCCAAAGUUUCUACCGGAGAGUCAAGACGAAAACGUGUGCCAACCCCUAUGCAUAGAUUCCCAAGGUCACGGAACCCGCAAGUUUAUCACCAAAACAUACAUCAAGUGAAUCAAUAGAAUACCCCAUUGUCACCACGGGUAUCCCACACAAGACAUACAUCAAGUGUUCUCAAAUCCUUAAAGACUCAAUCCGAUAAGAUAACUUCAAAGGGAAAACUGAAUCCAUUACAAGAGAGUAGAGGGGGAGAAACAUCAUAAGAUCCAACUAUAAUAGCAAAGCUCGCGAUACAUCAAGAUCGUGCCAAAUCAAGAACACGAGAGAGAGAUCAAACACAUAGCUACUGGUACAUACCCUCAGCCCCGAGGGUGAACUACUCCCUCCUCGUCAUGGAGAUCACCGGGAUGAUGAAGAUGGCCACCGGUGAGGGAUCCCCCCUCCGGCAGGGUGCCGGAACAGGGUCCCGAUUGGUUUUUGGUGGCUACAGAGGCUUGCGGCGGCGGAACUCCCGAUCUAGGUUUCUUUCCGGGGGUUUCUAUAUUUAUAGGGAUUCUUGGCGUCAGGAACAAGUCAGGGGGUCUCUGAGGCAGCCACGAGGUAGGGGGGCGCGCCCAGGGGGGUAGGGCGCGCCCCCACCCUCGUGGGUGCCUCGGGACUCUUCUGGUCCAUCUCCGAUACUCCGUGGCUUCUUCUGGUCCAAAAAUAAUCUCCGUGAAAUUUCAGGUCAAUUGGACUCCGUUUGGUUUUCCUUUUCUGCGAUACUCAAAAACAAGGAAAAACAGAAAUUGGCACUGGGCUCUAGGUUAAUAGGUUAGUCCGAAAAAUCAUAUAAAAUAGCAUAUAAAUGCAUAUAAAACAUCCUAGAUGGAUAAUAUAAUAGCAUGGAACAAUAAAAAAUUAUAGAUACGUUGGAGACGUAUCAAGCAUCCCCAAGCUUAAUUCCUGCUCGUCCUCGAGUAGGUAAAUGAUAAAAACAGAUUUUUUGAUGUGGAAUGCUACCUAACAGAAUUUUCAAUGUAAUUCUCUUUAUUGUGGCAUGAAUGUUUAGAUCCCAAAAGAUUCUAGAGAAAGUUUUAAUAUUGACAUAAAAAUAGUAAUACUUCAAGCAUGCUAACCGAGCAAUUAUGUCUUAUCAAAAUAACAUAGCCAAAGAAAGCUUAUCCCUACAAAAUCAUAUAGAUUGGCCAUGCUUCAUUUUCGUCACACAAAAUGCUCCCAUCAUGCACAACCCCGAUGACAAGCCAAGCAAUUGUUUCAUACUUAGCCUUUUCAAACUCUUUCUACUUUUAUGCAAUAUAUGAGAGCAAGCCAUGGACAUAGCACUAUGGGUGGAAUAGCAUAUGAUGAUGGGGGUUGUGUGAGAAGACAAAAAGGAGAAAGUCUCACAUUGACGCGGCUAAUCAACGGGCUAUGGAGAUGCCCAUCAAUUGAUGUCAAUGCGAGGAGUAGGGAUUGCCAUGCAACGGAUGCACUAGAGCUAUAAAUAUAUGAAAGCUCAUCAAAAGAAACUAAGUGGGUGUGCAUCCAACUUGCUUGCUCACGAAGACCUAGGGCAUUUUGAGGAAGCCCAUCAUUGGAAUAUACAAGCCAAGUUCUAAUAAUGAAAGAUUCCCACUAGUAUAUGAAAGUGACAAAAUAAGAGACUCUCUAUCAUGAAGAUCAUGGUGCUACUUUGAAGCACAAGUGUGGAAAAAGGAUAGUAACAUUGUCCCUUCUCUCUUUUUCUCUAAUUUUUUAUUUUUUAUUUGGGCCUUUCUCUUUUUUAUGGCCUCUUUUUUUAGUUGGGCUUCUUUGGCCUCUUUUUUUCGUCCGGAGUCUCAUCCCGACUUGUGGGGGAAUCAUAGUCUCCAUCAUCCUUUCCUCACAUGGGAUUAUGCUCUAAUAAUGAAAAUCAUCACACUUUUAUUUAUUUACAACUCAAGAAUUAAAACUCGAUACUUAGAAGAAAAUAUGACUCUAUGUGAAUGCCUCCGGCGGUGUACCGGGAUAUGCAAUGAAUCAAGAGCGACAUGUAUGAAAGAAUUAUGAAUGUGGCUUUGCCACAAAUACGAUGUCAACUACAUGAUCAUGCAAAGCAAUAUGACAAUGAUGGAGCGUGUCAUAAUAAAUGGAACGGUGGUAAGUUGCAUGGCAAUAUAUCUCGGAAUGGCUAUGGAAAUGCCAUAAUAGGUAGGUAUGGUGGCUGCUUUGAGGAAGAUAUAAGGAGGUUUAUGUGUGAUAGAGCGUAUAAUAUCACGGGGUUUGGAUGCACCGGCGAAGUUUGCACCAACUCUCGAGGUGAGAAAGGGCAAUGCACGGUACCGAAGAGGCUAGCAAUGAUGGAAGGGUGAGAGUGCGUAUAAUCCAUGGACUCAACAUUAGUCGUAAAGAACUCACAUACUUAUUGCAAAAAUCUACAAGUCAUCAAAACCAAGCACUACGCGCAUGCUCCUAGGGGGAUAUAUUGGUAGGAAAAGACCAUCGCUCGUCCCCGACCGCCACUCAUAAGGAAAGCAAUCAAAGAACACCCCAUGCUUCAAAUUUGUCACACAACGGUUACCAUACGUGCAUGCUACGAGACUUGCAAACCUCAACACAAGUAUUUCUCAAUUUCACAAUUACUCAACUAGCACAACUCUAAUAUCACCAUCUUUAUAUCUCAAAACAAUUAUCAAGUAUCAAACUUCUCAUAGUAUUUAAUGCACUUUAUAUGAAAGUUUUUAUUAUACCCAUCUUGGAUGCCGAUAAUAUUAGGACUAGUUUCAUAACCAAAGAAAAUUACCAUGCUGUUUAGGACUCUCAAAAUAAUAUAAGUGAAGCAUGAGAGUUCAUCUAUUUUUUCAAAAUAAAACCACCGCCGUGCUCUAAAAGGAUGUAAGUGAAGCACUAGAGCAAAUGAUAAACUACUCCGAAAGAUAUAAGUGAAGAUUAAUGAGUAGUUGAAUAAUUAUGUAACUAUGUGAAGACUCUCUAACAUUUAAGAAUUUCAGAUCUUGGUAUUUUAUUCAAACAGCAAGUAAAACAAAAGAAAAUAAAAUGACGCUCCAAGCAAAACACAUACCAUGUGGUGAAUAAAAAUAUAGCUCCAAGUAAAGUUACCGAUGAACGAAGACGAAAGAGGGGAUGCCUUCCGGGGCAUCCCCAAGCUUAGGAUCUUGGUUGUCCUUGAAUUACCUUCGGGUACCUUAGGCAUCCCCAAGCUUAGGCUCUUACCACUCCUUAUGCCAUAGUCCAUCGAAUCUUUACCCAAAACUUGAAAACUUCACAACAGAAAACUCAACAGAAAACUCGUAAGCUCCGUUAGUAUAAGAAAAUAAAUCACCACUUAGGUACUGUUGUGAACUCAUUAUAAAUUCAUAUUGGUGUAAUAUCUACUGUAUUAAAACUUCUCUAUGGUUCAUACCCUCCGAUACUACUCAUAGAUUCAUCAAAAUAAGCAAACAACACAAUGAAAACAGAAUCUGUCAAAAACAGAACAGUCUGUAGUAAUCUGUAUCAUUCGAAUACUUCUGUAACUCCAAAAAUUCUGAAAUAAAUUGGUGGACCUGAUGAAUUUGUCUAUUAAUCAUCUGCAAAAAUAAUAAACCUAAAAUCACUCUCUAGUAAAAAAUGGCAGCUAAUCUCGUGUGCGCAAAAGUUUCUGUGUUUUACAGCAAGAUCGGAAAGACUUCAUCCAAGUCUUCCCAAAGGUUCUACUUGGCACAAAUACUAAUUAAAACAAUAAAACCACAUCUAAACAGA